rnacentral:lncRNA from 1 species
GGCAUGCUCGAGACGCAUAUGAUUGUUGAACGCUAAUAAGCAUUUGGUAACCAACAACUUCAUUACAUUGAGUUGACAAUUAUUUCUAACACUAAUAACAACAUAAAAAUGUAAUUACAUGAUGAUUAAAUAAUCAUCAAAAGUGGUCGUAUUUUUCACUUAAAUCUUGAGAAUCAUCAUCCUCAUUGCUUAGAACAGAACACUACAAUAACAUCACCUUUCUCAAUUAAACUAGAGAAUAAAAAGCCAGGAGAUUCUUCAAACCAGAUCUUUUCUUCGAUGGAGACAGCAAGCUUGGCAGUGAUAUAAGCAACCCCUGGAAAAUUUCUCACAAUCUAAGUUUCAGAUUCUUGCACUCCUUAAUGCCAGCCUCACAACAUGAGGCUUUGGUGAUUCGAUAGGCAUCUCUGUGAUCUUUAACCCUUUAUCAUCUGCCACGAUAACCAUACUCAUUGUGUCCCAGGCAAUGUCUUUUUUCUUGGCAUCAACUUCCAACCAUAUCAUCCCGCAAUCCCACUGAAUGUUGUGUGCCACGUAUACAUACUCUUAAAGAGGCUCAAAUGACCGAUAUAUGUAUGUGUAUAUAUAUGUGUAUAUGUAUAUAUAUACAUAUACAUAUAUAUAUAUAUAUAUACAUAUACAUNNNNNNNNNNNNNNNNNNNNUACAGAAGAGGAUGGGACUGGUAAUGUGUAUGGAAAAGUACUGAAAAGAGAUUUAAGAUAACAAGGGUUUCUCGAUGUCUGCAUCAAGUUGUGUCGAUAUUGCUGUGGAUGCAACCUCCGUUAGAAGGAAAUCUUCUUUCCCUUUCGCCCAAAGAACCAUGUAAAGGCCAGAGAACAUGAAGAACAUGGCCAUUAAGCUGCAUUCCAAGAACAGGCUACAUUAAUUUCACCAUUAGUUUCUAGAAUUAUGAUUUCUUUGAUCGAUGGCAUACCUUUCCACUUUGAUCAUUUGAUGUAAUACUAUGGCUGAUAGAAUCCCGGAGCACACUGUUUGAACAGGGCUAAACAUGGACACAAAAACUGGCCCCUUCCGCUUCACAGCCCAUGUUUGGAAUGCGAUACAUGCAGCAGUGGUCAUGCCUCCCUGCAUGCAACCACCGUUGAAGACUUUAUCUCUGGCAGUUGCCAUACAUCAAGAAAUAUACAAGAAGAUGUGAUGGAUGUUCCUGCAUACCAAGAUUGCAAUGGCGACAAUGCUCUCGAGUUUGAUGACAGGAUUGCCAAUGUUGAUUCUUCCUUCGACUACGAAUUGCACAGCAGCUGUAAGAAAUGCUCCCAGCAAAGAGGUUAUGGAACACAAAGUUAAAGGAGCUUCAAAUUGCAUCAUGGUAGCAGCCUGCAAUGUGUAUGCACAAUGUUAUCACUGUUAAUGUCAUUGCAUAAGCACAAUUAGUACCUAAGUUGGCACCUUAUGGACUAUUGAUCUUCUUUUCUCUAUCUAUACAUUGCAAGGAGACAUGAAUAAGUUUUAGGAAAUGAAGAAGGGCUUGUACUUUGUAGUAAUCAAAAUUCUCAAUAAGGGAUUUUCUCAGUUUCUUUUUUAUUUUACAUUCGUGCUAUAAAUUUAGCUAGUCUUGUGUUGGUAUAUGCGGCUUUUCUCACAUUGCUCACAAAAGCAUUAAUAGUUUCUGAUCUUGUUUAUGAAGACUUUUUGGGAUAUUAGCCAAAAUUAGAAGAUGGAUGAUCUGCAAAGCUGAGAGAACUACUUGAAAGUUGAAUUUACCUGCAGCACCAUUGUGCAAGAAAUCACCAAAACUGCACCGAAGAGGCAUAGGCAACCAAUGAACCAAUCCUUGUAGGUGUUCUCAAGCAAGUUUUCACCAAAGGGAUGCAAUCUUUGAGGUGACUCAGGAGGUGGCACAGAAGGGCUUUGCAAUAAGCUCAUGGCCACUGCACCACCUAAGCACAACAAGGUUCCUAGUAUCUUGGCUCUGCUGUACCAGUACAUCAUGUCAACUUUCUCAAACCUGCAAAAACUAAUCGGAUCACCAUUGUGCAAAUAAAUAGAGAAAGAACUAGAUGAACCCAAUAACACACAAAUGCAUCUAUUGGAUUAUUUUUAUUCCUUGUUCUUCAUGUGUGUGCAUGGUUCCAAGUUGGCAUUUUUGUUUCUUUUUUCUUCUUCCUUGGUUUGAAGAUAAUGCAGGGGUACUGAUCCCCUGGCAGAAGAAUUACCCAAGUGCAAUAUUUGGGUCAACCACAACAACAAUUGGAACCCAAAGACUUGGCUUUGAUGGCAUGAAGGCAAAAAUAAUUAUCUGAGAUACAUUUUAUGCUCAAUCUUCCCUAAGAAGGCAUCAAGCUCAACUUGUAAUCACAAAGUCAAGCGAUUGUGCCCAAGAGACUCAUUGCACAUGUUGCAACUCAAUGCACUUGUAUUAGAAAAAAUAUCAAGAAUCAAUACAUUUAGAUAGUCAAAACAAAUUAAUAGUAGAUGGAGAAGCUGGUACCUUAGACAAGCUGCAAUGAUAAAGAUGAUGCCUGGAGCAAGGUUGGGCAUGGCAGACGCAAUAGAUGGGGAUGUUUUCUUGACUCCCAGUAACAACAGGGCUUGAAAUGUGGUCACCCUAAAAAGAUCGUGGAUACAAAUUAACGGAUUGUUCAUGCAUAUAGGAGGAGAAGAAUGCUACAGAUUAUGAAAAGAGAAAGGGAAUUUCAAGAACAAUCAUGAAUAUUGAUCAUUUUAUCCGAGAUAAAUCGGAUUCCUAAUCCUAAUGUGAAAAAGCUUAUACAGAGACAGGGGAAUGGUUACCCUCCCAGAGCAAGCAAAAGGAAUCGAGCCAUCAACAUCGGACUUAACCUCGACGGCCAUUUCUCCCUGCAAAUAGAACUAAUUUUACAUUGCCCAUAAAGAUCAAAGGAGAGGGACGCGAUCCAAGAUAAAAAAGUCACACCUUUCGAACGCGACCGCAAACGGGAAAACAAGGGUUGCAGUAACGAAGCUGCCGAAGGUGACAAGGAACAAAGGCUUGAUGCCGAGGGAGAGGACGGGGCCGAGGAACACCAUGUAGGCCGCACCGACGAGUUGCACCGUGACGAGGCCAAGAAUGACGAGGCCGUCCUCCACCACCGCCUUCCUACGGGAACCCGGCAUGCUUGCGUAUGUACCGCGUGGAGAGCGGUCCGCCGCGAUCGGCGGUGGCCGCCUGGUCGUCAGGCCGACGGCGGCGCCUCCGGUGGCAGGGGAGGUUGUGCGUGUGGGAGCGACGCCGGUCUGAGAACAUCAAUUCAUUGCACACCACCCUUUACCUCUUGGUUUCCACCCUCUCUCUCUCUCUCUCUCUCUCUCUCUCUCUCUCUCGCGUUUCCAAACACCGCCCUUGGAAGUUUUAGUUCGUGCGUUGUCGCCGUGCUUCGGGUUUUAUUUGCUGGAAUGAGGGGUAAAGCAGUCAUUUUCGUGCCAACAUAAGCAUCUCAUCGUACGGAAUCUUAAUUUAUCUCGUCCGACACAAAUCUUAAAGUUUUAUUAUGCUCGUUCGUCGUACUUAUUCUUCGAUCUAAAACAUAUCUGAAGUAAGAUUGUGUUACGAUAGAUUUUGAUCGUCGAUACGUCGAGAUUUGGUGGUUGGUUGUCAAAACAUGUCGUAAGUCUCGAUGUUGGAAGUCCAAUCAGAGAAAUACUAGCAAAGAUACCUCUUAACAGAUCCACGACAAUUGUAUGAAAUCAUUGGCUACUACUCGAACGUACGGAAUCUGUCGACCCUUUGGACGUCACAGUUAAUAUAUAAUUUUACACGUCAGAUUGAUUUGAUGGAGUUUUUGGUUGACGUGCUGAGUUGAUGAAUCAUCCGAAUUGGUGUCAGGAUAGCAAUGGCGUGACAUCCGAUCGUCCACGUGUUGGGUUGUCAUUUUAGAGCUAAAUCCUACUUGCAUUCGUCGUAAACUCACAUUCUAAUCCGACAAUUGAAUCCAAGAACGGUUGAUAUUUAUGAUUUCUUUUUUUUUACUUUACCUAUUAUUUAAUUCGACUAAUUAGGCCAUCUCAGACUCUUCUGAAUGCAUAUUUGUCACGCACUCAUUUUUUUCCUUCACGUAUAAAAUACAUGUUGGAUUUUGAUACUUGGUAGCAAAACAAUAUGGAUAUUCCUAAGAGGUCCAACAUUGAGAAUUAGUCAACCAGCUAUUUGGACUCGGGCUGAAUCUAUCGGAUCCAAAUUCUUAUCGGCUGUGAUCGCAUCAAUCAAGUGAAGGCACGAAUCUUAAAGCACGUAGUAUUUAUAGAAAUCCUUUAAAAUUAUUAAAAUGAGUUUAAGUAUAAGCAUAAAAUGUGUGAUAUGGUUAUGUAACGUGAAAAUUUUUUUAUGUCAAGAUUGAAAUUAAAUAAUAUUAGAUCGGAUUUAUGAUGUGUACCUUUCGAUAUCUUCUAAAAAAGAUUACAUGCAAAUGUAUUGUUCUCUGUAUUUGUAUAUCAUAGUGAACUAGACAUGCCUUCUUUUUUUUUUUUAUCUUUUCACAAAACUAUUUUUAGUUGAGAAAUAAACCAUAAUAUCUCAACUACAUCCUCUAUUUUAUACUUCGUUUAGUCUCUAAAGAUCUAGAGGUCUUGUCUAUUUAAAGGCGAGAGUAGAGAAUCUAGGAUAAGUUAUUAGGAUAGUUUCUUCUAUUAUGACAUUCAAAGAAUCCUAUUAUAAUAUGAAUUUCUUUUCUAUUGGCUAUCAUCAGAAUCUAAUUAAUUUUAUUAUAUAUUUUAUCUAAUUAUAAAAUAAUAUAUAUAUGAUAGAUUAGAAUAAAUAACAAAUUGAGCAUUUUAUAUGUAAGAAAUUGGACCCUCGUGAGUUAUGGAUAUUGAGCCAUAUGGUGGGCGCCAUAGUGAAAAUGAUGUAAUUUAGCCUCACAUAGCAUGUCUCUUUCACGACGAUUGAUACCAGACCAGUCAGUACUCAUACUCGAUGAUUUUUUUUUUCUCGCAGAAAAAUAAAAUAUAUGAGUCUUGAAUACACAAAAAAAUGAACUAUAUAUAUAAUAAUGUGUUCUGAAUACAAUAAGUAAUCAACAAGUUCAAUUUUCAGAGUCAAGUAAUACUUAGUUUUCUAAGAUCAUUUAAGAACUUAUUCUUUUCAAAAAAUCAUUCUGAAGAAUUUUUGGAGUAAUUAAUAAAUGAUCAAAUAUACAACAACAAUAACAACAAAAUGGUUGAAUAUAGUCUAUGCAUUGCAUAAUGGAAAUGAAUUGAAUGAAUUAAAGGGGAAGAUAAAUAAGUCCAAAAGACUCAAUUGAGCUCUCCAGCGUUGUGCAGGUUGCAAGUGAUUUCUAACAAUGAUGAAUGUUAGAGAUAGCAGUCAUCAUCCAUUUGUACUUACACGUUCGGACUGGUUAUGGACGGCUGCGGCUCUGCUUUUGGGUGGAGGCAAAAGGCUUCUUCCCCUCUCUUCUGCUCCCCUUAUCUUCUUCGUCCGACAAACUAUCAUUCUUUGUGAUCCGAGGUCCGGAGAAGCCAGAAGAUGUCAAAGGAAAAGGAAUCAGGUGAUUGCAACGAAGAAGAAAGGUUUUGAUCGGAAUAGUCGUCGUUGUAUGGCAUGGGUUUGUGCAUGGGAAUAACCUUCGUUUGGGAGCUCCUGUGGCUGAUGGAUACGUGGUCGUCCAAAGCCGGCGCCUUCCUUUUGCUCGAGCUUGUGUUCUCCGUUUCCGGCGAGGCGGAAUUGGUAGCCGUUGGCAGUGGUGGUGGUGGUGGUGGCGGUCAGGCCAAGAUCGUCCUCACUCCACGUGUCGAGCGUCACCAGUGUGGUGCUGUCGACACGCCCGGCCAGGGAGCCCGCCGCGCUCCCCUGGCUCGAGCACACCCCCGCCACCAGCGCACGCUUCCUCCCGUCGACGGCUACGUCGUCCCGGCACGGGACGAGCGCGUCGACCGCCACCGAGGCCGAGCUGCCAAGCCCGCCGAGCCAGUCCUCCAAGUCGGUGCUCCUCGGCGCGGCGCCGGUGACCUGGUUCACCACCGACUCGAGCGUGCCGCUGCGGCGGUGCUUGUUCCAGGCGGUGGAGGAGACGGCGACUACGGAGGUUGACGGGCUUGCCGGUGCGAGGCCGCACGAGGCCGUGCAGCGCGAGCUGGCCGUUCUCCCACGUGAGCUCCGCCACCACAUACUGCGACCUGAUGUGCCUAAACACAUAACCAUACAUGAGCUCUUAGAGAGAGAGAGAGAACAGACAAGGAGCCGACGAGAGAGCCGGAGGGACGGUAAUGAUGGAGGGGGAGGGUGGAAGAGGGGAAGGGAGGUGGGACGUCGAUGUCCCAACUGGGCACGCGCUGACUCAUCUACACUGCCGCUGCGCCUUCUUCUUCCUCCUCCGCCUCCCUCUUCCUCCAAGAUCCCUUUUCCUGCUCCUCCAGGGUACAUGUGUGGACGCCAAUAGGGAGUAUACAACGAGUGGGAUCCAAUAGAACUGCCGUCUUCAACAUGUCAUACGGUGGAUAAGAGUCAGACGAAGGUUUACAUCGUCAUGGCGUGAGAGCACGCGAGAGGUUAUGAAUUCUGUCGUCAAACACUAGAUACGAUUCACGAUUCAGAGGUGGCUUCCUCUCCACAGGCUAUAACCCUGUCUCCGUCUAAUCCCUGUUCUACCGUAUCUCCGGCGAUCACUCGAGUGACGACAUAUAGCAACUCUAUGAAUGCAAACGACCACACUGUGACGGAAAGUAAGACUGUUGAUGAAUAAUUUGGGUAGCUACAUAAAAAUAAUUAUUUUAUCUUUUGCAAUCAGAAUAUGGAGUUUCUAAAGCCAAUCAUCGGUUUCGUAAACAUCAGUGGGGUGGGGCAACUCCGCCGACUCCUUUUCGUCUCCUCCAAAUGCUUAAAGGAUUCUGGCAGUCACUCUCCCUGGUAAGCCUCACAAGCUGCUUAUGUUUACCUGCUAGUGCAAUCGCCGGGGAUUGUAUCGUUUUCUCGUGGUAGGGUUCUGCAGCGAGGCACACACAACAUUCCCUUUGAGCGUCCGGUACCGCCACCAAUCAAUGAUCUCGAAUUCCUCCAUCUCCAGGGAACUAGCGACGUUGAAGAGAGACAUGAAACGCUAAUCGCCACUGCAAUAUGCCGUCUUUUUUUAGAUUGCCCACAUGUACUUAAAGAAUACGCAUCUCGUCUACUUUUCUCUUCCCUUGUGUGAUGUACGAUGUUGCAGAGAGACGGUACUUUUACAUGUGUAUAUAGGCUGCAGAUAAUGAACAGAAGGAAAAAAAGAAUUCUCAACCACAACUCGGCAAUUAAUAAACUCACUAGCAUGACAGCGACAUUAAGCAAUAAUGUUACUUGGCACAUCAUGGAACCUUUUGGAGAAAACAAUCUACAAUUCAUCAUUUGGACAUCUGAAAUACAUCUAGUAAAGCUAUCAACAAUUGAGUGUCUAAAUUGUCUAUUUUACUGUUUGUAACUAUGCAUUAGUAUUAUAUUGUGAUACAUCUGAGACAUCACUGCAUGCACAAAUACAUCACUAAAUAUACAAAUCUGAGAUGGCUGCAAAAAUCGCAACUAGAAAUCAAAUACAUGAGUCACCAUUAUAUGUGAUGUGGGUCAAUGGCCACCAUCUCGGAUACCAGCAGAGACCAUCCCAUCAUUCACAGUUUUAGGACCACCACAGGACCUCGAUACUGAUUCAAACAACUUCUCAAUCUCAGGUGCCGAUCGUGUAAAUGAACGAUUCCAGAAGUCAUACCGUGGGUUCUGCACGUAUAAUAUAUUGGGACAAUAAGAACCUAAUGAUACAAAACAGCAGAUGAAUUACAGCAGCCUUUAGUUUAAUGUCCACAAUAAUACCUUGAUCAGUUCAAUAAAAGUGAUGAGCAAACCCCAAGGAUGAGGUCGGUUAACUAUCAGGCGCUCUAACAGUACACGAGUUAUCUGCUCCUGGAUGAUGUCCUGCAAUUGCAUGAAAAAGAUGGGUGUCCAUUCUUCAUAUUAAAACAACUAAACAAGAGCUCCAGAAUGCAUAUAAGCAAUAAAUUUGAGGUACUGCUGUUUCCAAACAGAGCAGAUAGCAUACAUUAUACACAUGCACAAGUCUCCUCUUACUGGCGACAUGUUUUCAUGUUAAAUUCAAAUCGAGUCAGAAACACCCAACUUCAUUGGUCAUCAUAAACCAGCAGCCAAAAGGUAUUCAAGCUAAGAAGUAGCAACUUAUGUUAACAGUAAUCAACCUGUCCCUAAGCUACAUUCAUGCAAAUCAGGAUGCUCAAAAUAGGGUAUUACAUUAACCAGUAAAAUAAACUAUACAAACAAUGACUACAAAUUCAGCGUAUCUAAACAAAUCAGAUAUGGUUGAGUUCUGCAACAGCCUAAGCUACAUUCAUCCAAAUCAGGAUGCACAGAAUAGAGUAUUUCAUCACUUACAUCCACAAUAUUAACAAUUAUUAUUUUCCAGAUUCAUAAGAUUCAUCACUGACAAGAGACAUCUUCUGAGUGUGCAUAUUAUAUUACUAUGUUAAAGCAUUAAUCAAGUUGCCAGAUCAUGAUCCAUCAUGACGUCAAAAAUAGCUGAACUAUUAAAGUACACCAGGGUCAUGAUUAUGAACCAAGCUGGGCAACAAAUUGCACGUUACGUUGAAGUUAAACAUGACAAACCAUCAUCCAUUUUUAGUUACUUUGUAAUGCUCACUAGAAAGGCUUUCAUUAUCCUUAAUAGAGUUUCAGUAUAUCCAACUCAUGGAAAAUGGUACUCUUUUGUGCUAGAUACAGAAACUUCAUAAGCAACCAAAGAACUUUUUAUAUGAUAAAUACUCAUUUAGUUUCUUUCCAUGAAAAGAAUGUCACCUUAAGCAAGAAAGAUCUUUACACAGCCUAUAUUUGCUUUACAAGUAUACCUCCUUAUUUCAGCCUAAAUUACACGAUCAGUUCACUAUAUAUUCUUACAUUAGAUUGAAUCGUUUGUAUGAUGUUUCAUUCCUUAGUCAGCAUGAAGGUAUUACCAUCUCCUGGCUUUCGAAUAUUGCUAGUGUUGUUGGCAUAUACUCGGUGCUCACAUGCUAUAGUGUCUUCCUAGUCAUUUUAAAUAAUUCCAAAACAAUAGAAGAUAUUACCAUUAUGACUAGUUAUUGACCACAAAUCUCACAAUAAUGUGGCACAAACUCACUACAAAGUGUCGUCUUCUGGAAGUUAGUGCAUAAAUCUUCAACCCACUUUGUCAAGAAGUCCAAAAUUGAAGCAGAUGCAAAUCAAAGGAGCCAAUAUCUAUUUGACAUAAAUGAGAUGGAGAUACAAGAUGAUGAAAUAAUAAAUCUUACCUGUUUCGCCUCAGCAAAUAAGUAUAGCAGGACAAAGGAGAAGUAAUGAGUGUGGUUGUUAGGGUACCGCAGCUGAUUAGCAACUGCAUUUAGAAAGAGGUAGCGGCCUUCUGAAUCUAGAUUAUUAAUCAAACUCUGGAAGAUAUCCAUAGGUGUGCUAACUAAGAAAAGAUCCAUUGGAGGGCUGUGGUUCACUUGUUGGGUAGAUGGAUGCUGAGCAGUAGACUUGCUCUGCAACAGUUGUAUAGCCUGAAUCAUCAAAACAGAAUGUUACAUUGGUAGCUAUCUGUAUAAACCAAAGAAAAACAGAAAGUGAAAGGCACACAAAUGCUUCAUAGAAUAUUAAAAAGGCAUCCUAUUCACUUGCAAGCAGCGACAGUCAAUCAAACAACCUGUUGCAUAAAACAGUCACUAAGAAAUAUAGUAUAAUCUCUGUUCUAUUAUCUCCUACAUAAUAUAUGGAGUAAGAACAACACUGGAAUUUAGAUGGAAGUAUAACAAUUCACUAAGGCAACAGUUAGCAAAUAAUGCAACACCAGGUCCCAACUGACACUAUUCACAUGCAAGCAGUCAACCUGAGACAUUCGUUGCCACAAAGAGCAAUCACAUAAAUCAUAAACCAAUUUGCACUUGUUUGUUCUUUUACACUUGGCAGACACCUUCAAUACAAUGAACAACCUAACCUUCGUUUGCAAAACACUGGUUUGUGCACAGAAUAAACCAGGGACCAAAUAUACAAAGUCCUAGUAAAAAAUAGAACUUGCUAUUUUAAUCUUUAUAACAGGAAAUGAGUGUGCAAUUAUGCUGUUUGUGCAAACAAGUAAACCGAUGCAAAAUUCAGACUGCAAACACCACAGCUGAUCAUCACAGUAAUCAACUAUGCUGUUAGACCAUUACAAAAACAUUAAUCUUGUAAUCCAGUUCAAAGCCGCACUGAAUAACAAAUCCUACCUUUUCGUUGGAAUCCUAGCAAGCAUGUGCCAUCGAUGAAACAACAGUUUCCGUGAUAAGAUUCAACUUGAUUAUUUUAAUUUUGUUUUAGUUGAUCACAUGUUACUAUUCUUUUAAGAUUCAAACUUCUAUUAUAUUUUGUACAGAAUAACCCACUCUACUAAACACAUCCUUGAUGUAAUAACAUCUUCAGAAUGGUGCAUGCUCAAAAAUUCAAACAUAAACAUCAUUUUUUGUCACAACAGAGACUGCAAAAGUUAUCAUUUUAAAGCAUUACCUGCAUUCCUAUGUAAAGCACAAGCGAAUUGAUCAAAGGUACAUUGUAACGAGUCCCGGCCAGGUUUGCUUCACUCUGAGGAAGCAGCAAUCUCUGCUUUAGUUCACUUAAAAAAGAAGAUCCUUCAGCUGUCUGCAGCAUUAGAUGAAGAAGAGGGUGAGAAAACCAAUCAAGUUGAUGUACGAGCAUACUCACAAAUUACAUCACAAAUUAAAAGCUAUACUUAAGGUUAUGCUAAAAUUAUGAAUUGAUAUGCUAAAAAUACAAAGCAACAUUUUGGAAGUAAUCUAGUCAAAACAAAUUUGUAGUUGUAUAUGAGAAUAAGCCCGGGCCAAUUGAACCCACUACCUUAAGGUAGUCAUCAAUCUCCGCCUUUAUUUGCUUGGCUUUUAGAGCACCAUCAACAUCAGAUAGAAUGCGAGGUGGUUGGCUGAUUUCAGCAAGCAGAUCGAUCUGCAAAAAAACAAUCAGCAUUACAUCCAUGAUCGUCAUUCUUACCCUCCAUUUAAACAGUCAAUAUUGCCAAAUCAAGCAAUAAUUCAUGCAGCAAGAGGCAAAAAUGACCUUUAAGUUGGGAGUGGAUGGAUCAGGAAGCCUCAUAUUACGGGGAAACGCACUCAGAAUAACAUUACGCAUCUGGAUGCAACUGGGAGGAAUCACAUCACAGAAACUAAAGUGAUAGUCACAGAGGAACUCAGGAAAGUCAUGCAGCAGAACAAGGAGCACCCUCAGAGUUCCUUUAUAUAAAAAUUGCACCUACAAUAAUACACAGGAAAAUUACUACAUUACUUUAAAUUGUUUAGUUGAAACCCAGAUAUGAAAACACGAAGAAAACAAACCGGCUCAGACAGCUCUGCAUUUCUCAAGUAUGGCUCCAUGAAUUUGAAUAAAUCAACAAGCAGGCGCUGGAAAAAUGGCCAACCUUUUGGUGAAUUGCAUGUAAGCAAUUUUGGCAUGAAGCUUCUAUGACUCACCAACUCAAGCCAUGCAAAACUAAAAGCACAAUUAUCAGAUUGGAAUCAUCUUAAAGAAAACAUAGAGAUGAAAGAGCAAGAAGAAUGACCCAAUUAUUAAUUUGAUCAGAUUGAGUUAUUAAAAAAAGCAAAGCCCAGGACAUGUGUGCACUUUAUGAACAGCCAAAGAUCAUUUGAUUGAAAUCUGAAAAUAUGCAUCUCAUAUAUUAUCACAAAAGAUCAUCAAUGACCAAUAAUAAAAAAUUACAAAAGGACAACACUAAUAAAAUAUGUUUCCAAAAUUACUACUAGAUAAGCAACAAAAAAGAGGAUUGAAGUAUAUAUCUAUAGGCUUCAGCUGCAUGUUUCAUCAACACCUUUCCAAAAGCAAGUCAUUAUAGUGAACAUAGUAAACUGUCAACUUGUGCAAAAAAAUAAGGGCUUAAUUUUUCAGAUUAAGUGGAAGGGCAUUCAUGAAAUAAGGAACCAGCAUUGAAGGAUCCUUUCUGGCAUGAUCAACCAUUCUGCACACCAACAGAGACAACACCCUUAGUGACUCUCCAGUGUGCUCUCUCAACCAGCUCACCACAUGGCGAGGCAAUCAAUUGCCACAGGUGAUAUAUAAUUUGCAUCACUGUGGCAACUAUGCAUCUAAGUAUGGCACAACUAUACCAUGGUGAUUUCAGUCAAAUGAAGCUGACAAGCCCCACUAAGAGUAGAAAAGCACUAGAUCUGGCAACUACAAUAACUUCAAAGCUAAAGUGAUCCCUUUGAUUGAUGCCAACAACUUCCUUCCACCACCAGUACCUCCAGAUUCACUUUAUGAUAUAAUCAGGCCUAAGGAAUCCUACACAGGAGCAAAGGACAAUGGACAAUAGUACCUAAUGACUGCCUGCAAGCUUUUGUACACCUUACCAACAGGAACUUCAAAAUUCAGACAACAUAUUCUCCAUAAUUUUAGCCUCUUCCAUUUCGAAAAUAGGCCCAAAAGAACACCAAUAUCACCUGCAGGCAACUGAAGAUAGACUUCCCAAAGUUUGAUGGAGGUGAUCCAACAAGUUAGCUAUUUACGACUGAAUAAUUGUUCAACUGCAUGGAGAUUCAAAAUAAAACAAAGUCCAACAUGCAACUUCCGACUUUAGCCCACCACUGGUACAAGUGGUGUUGAAUGCAAGUUGGGAAAUCCACUUGGUAUUAACUCUCUAGAGAGGUGAUGACACAGUUCGAGACUUUGAGAACAAUGAAUAUCUUGUGGCACUAUAUGCAUUGCAACAAGGAACCAUUGACAGAUACCACCAGGAGCUACAAAAUGACAACACAAAUGGUGACUCUAGAUAUGCUACAUAUGUCACCCAAUGCCCCGAGGCAUUCUCCAUCGUUCCACCCAGAAACCAAUGCCAAUGGUAUGCUAGGCUGAGGAUACAUGGGCAUAUCCUUGCCAAUUGUGAUAGACAUGCACCUAUGCAUCCAAGGACAGCAUACCACCGGUCUUUGAUGUGGUGGCACUUAUCACGCACCAUAUAUUUAUAAUUUUUAAGUUAAUUGGGAACUGUAGAAUCUGAGAUACACACAAAUCUAUGUUUCCAGAUAUUUGAUUAACCAUAACACAGCAGGUAAAGUGACAAACCUCCAACCAGGAACUUUUAAAGGCUGCAACGCGUGGAACGCAUUUGCAAAAGAAGUCAAGACCUGAAUGUUACAUAUCAACAUCAUAUAAACAGGAAGCACUGAGAGAAGAAUAUAAAAAACAAUUAAGAAUAGCACAAACCUGAAAGUUGGCACUAUCGACUACAUCAGGGGAAGUCAAGUCCAAAAGCCAAUUAAUAAACAACCUGAAGUAAGGCCUUGGGUUAAAUGAGAGUUUUUUCUCUUCUGCAUCUUUCUGAAUGACUCUUAUAGUCACUGACAAAAUCUGUCCACAAAAAUUUAGAAUAUAUGUAAUAGAAAUGACUAGUGAUUAAAGAAAGAUAUGAGUAACUCCUUAAGUCUUAGGCUUGACCUUGGGAAGGAGAACAGCUUUAGUUGCUCCUUGAUCCACAGACGAGUACUGGAAAAAAAAAACAAAAAGUGAAUUUGAAAAAAAUAAAUCAAUCCAAGUCACAGUUAUUUGGGUGGAACAUGCUUAUGCAGUUCAAAAUGAGAAUGCAAUUAACGUACCUUUAAAAUUAGAACCACAAGUUUCGCAUAUGAAUCAAUUGAAAAAAAUGAUAGCUGCUGUGGUUGUUCAUGGACAACUUGACAAUAUGUAACAGAAAGCUCCUAGAAGAUGAUAUAUGAAUUAGCAAAAGCAAAUUACUUGUAGAACAUAAACCAGAACAAGUGGAAAGCUUAGACUACCGUGAGAAUACGGAAAAACCGAUCUGUAAUGUCAUCGCCCUUUAGCAAACCAUUUUGUUGCAACUGGGAAAUGUAAUGAGUAUACGUUGACUCAUUUGCUGCUGGAAGCUCACAAAGCCGACACCAAUCAGCAAAGUAAGCAGCAACCUGCAUAAUAUUAAAUGUGUUUCAGCAACAACAUAGAAGUAGCACUUUAUAGAAAUUGGGGAAACAAAAAACUAAAAAAUGAAUAAGAUAAGUAAAUUAAUGGACCUAAAAUGUCAACAGCCCCUACAGAAUCUUAUAAUAGUAUUAAAAGAGAUGAAACAAGAUUUCUCCAUGAUCAACAGAGUUCAGAAUCAAAACUUGAAACAGAUGUUGACAAGAAAAUUGAAACGACGUAGUCAGGCAUCUCACAUGUCCCCUAGUAUUUGUCAAAAAAUCAUGAUUUCAUAAGAAUUGUUUAUGGUAAUCAGAAGAUCCCUGAUGAUGAGAAAAACAUGUUCCAGUUCUAGAAGCAAGUUCAUUCAGAGAUUUCCCACAAAUGCAAAUUAGACACAAUAAUAAAGAAUGAAGUACAACAAAGGGAAAAAACUUGAAAAGGCACAUCACCUACAAAACUAUGGGUAGGCAAUUUAAAAUAAACCCUAGAAAACUGUGUCAAAAGUAUAAACAAGCCAGCAAAAGACAAACAUAAUAAACAUGCAUAAGAAAACAAAUCAAUGUCUUACACGUUAAGUCUGCACAAAAACCUAAUGGCCUACAACUAAUUGGGAAUUUAUGCAUGUGCAAGUACACAAUUACAAAUAUUAUUUUUUUUAUCAAACACAAUUGCCUUGAUAUCUGGGAUGGCACCAGUUAGUAUAUAACCUCAAAUAUGCAUAGAUUAAUCUAGUUUGGAUCAUAAUAUUUAUUUAUACAUAUUACAUUUAUUAGUAUGCAUAUAUAUACAAAAUCAAUGAAAAUAUCAAACAUACAUGCAUAAUGCAAAUCAAAUGUCAAGGACAACUUGCUCCACAAUUAAACACAUUUAAUCACAUACAAAAAAACAAGUCAAUGAAAAAAGGACAUUCAUAUCAGUAUCCAGAUAUAGUAGCAAUUAGCACAACAACACGGAUUUGUUUCUUCUAUUAGUCAUUGUCACUUUGCUGCCCAUUAAAUUCAUAUUACUUGAACCAAAAAAACUCAAAUUGAUUGGAUUUUGAUUGAAAGAAAUCCAAUAUCACACUCAAACCACCAAGAAAACCAUAUAACUCUGACCUCAGAUAACUACUGGUGUCUUAUUUAUUUUUUUAUCAGAGUAGUUAUUUAUGACCUCAGAAAAAGAACUUAAAAAGGAUGAAUCUGAUCGCCACAACAAUAUACAAAAGACAAACACACUGAGAGACGUAUAUAAAUCACAUCCUUGAUCUCUGGGAUACGACCAGAAAGCAUUUAGAUAAUUUCAAAGCUACAUGUAGCAAGUCCUACCAAAAUAUGGGAGAUGUUAUAUAUAUAAGAAACAUAUAUAUAGUUAUCAUUUAAAAAACAUGUUAUAAGGUUAAAUAAAGUCCAAAAAAUAUUCAGCUACCUUUCAGUUGUUAUAUAAAAGAGCAAUGUACCUAAAUUUUUCACUUAAAAAAUCGACCUUGUUUAAAUACCAUGUUAGAAAAGAAAUGCAUGAUCUUUCAAAAGUUUUAUCACAAAGACAAUGCCUACAAUGCUAAUGAUUCAUAAAUUGAAGUAUGAGAUGAACCAAUCUUUCCAGUUUCCAUUACUACUAUAUCUUUAUUACGAGAAAAUAAACAUGGACCAACAGCGGAAGACCCUACAUAUCGAAACGAAAAUACUUUUACGCCACCAAGUCGACAACAUUUCACAUUACUCUUUAUUUCUUUUGACUGCAUUUACAAUUGUAAUACAGCAAUAACUAAGCAGAGACAUGAUAAACAAGUAAAAUAUAAAUUUAUCUAUAUAAGAAAACCUGAUCUCGGAAACCAGCAGGAUCAGCAAGUGCUGGCUCAUUUGAAUCAAGCUCUUCUUUGUUUGUCAAGGAACGACCAGAAAGAACCUGUUUAUAAUAUAAGAUUAAGAUGUUGAAUUGCAGAUGAUGCAAAUGCAUGUCUUGUUGAAGUUGUACCAAACACAGGAUCUUUUCCAAAGAAUUACCUUCUUAUCCUUGAAUUGUCUGGUCUUCUCUUCUUUGUUGGCAGCUACAUUAGGAGAGCUUACAUUACUCCUAGCAAUCUCAACCAACUGUUGCAAUGACUCAGGCGACCCAGGCUUCAUUGCCAGCUGCAGGUAUAAAAGUAACAUUUAAGAGAACAUACCAGAGCUUGUCGGGUCAUAUAUCACUUUAAAAAAAAAAGAAAUACAGAAGUACCUUUGUCAAGGCAUCAAUGAGAUUGUACAAUUCUGACAUGCUUACUCCAGGUUCUUGAACAACUAAAGUUUGCACAAGGGAUAUGGCAAAUUCAGUGGCAGCCUCUGUAAAUGAACAUAAGCUUUUUAGUCUCAAUAAUCAAAUUGAGCAAUGCUUUAGGCACCAAACAUCAAACCCAUAAAAUCCCAACUCAUAAAACAACAAAAACAUUCUCUGAAGUUGAUAUAUCACACAAUUCAUGUGUAAACAACAACCAAAUUUGGUGCCCAAGCAUCACCAUAGUAAAAUGUUAUCUGGUCUCCCAAAGAGAAUGCUAGUAUUUUGAGACAUACUGUUCCUUCCCCCAUCUAUAAGUUUUGCCAAAUGGAUGUUGUACUCUGCCAGGUUCAGCAACUCAGAACGAAUGAGGCCUACAGUGAUUUCUUUAUUAAACUUUCGCUCCUCGUCUGAGUAAAUUACCUGUGGAAUGGGAAAGACUAUGUCAUCAUAAAACAAAAUAGUCAACAUAGGCAUAAAUUAAAAGGUAAAUGUAAGAAAGAGUGAAAAUUGUAAUCAAGAAUAUAUCAUGCUCAGUUCCAAAAAAUACAUCAAAUGCAAAGAAUACAAGACAGCACAGUAUAACAAAAAAUAAAGCUUAUUGCCGCAUCACCAAUAGUCUGAACUCUGAAGAUUGCAUUUUGAUAAAAAUAUGAAACAACUUGUCAAUAAAAUGUAUAGUUAUUAAUAGUAUAAUACUAAAAAUCAUAUUACUGGGGCCCAGGAUGAUCCACAACAAUAUAUUAUCAGCACAAGUGUAAGUCAUAAAAAAACUCGAAAUAAAUAGUCCGAAUAAAAAAGCUUUUUUAACUAUGCAAUUGGUCAGCCAACUUUGCCACAGAGAAGCAUCAAACCUAUUGAUGCCAACCUAAAAGGCCCACAAUUUGGGUGCAGAUGGUCAUUCAACAUAUGAUUUGCAAAGAAAGUGUUCUUGAAAUCAUUUGAAAGGGCUUAUUCAGAACAAGGUUCAAGGUCCACAGUAAUAAGAACACAAAUAUCAAAAAUGAACUAAAUUCAAUGAACUCUCAAGACGCAUUGUCACUAAAGAUCAAGCUGAUAGGCAAAACCUCCUAGUUAUGGUCCUAAUCUCGCCAAAUAAUCAGCUGUUCAAACCAUUAUAUAUAUUUGCCAAAGGGCACCAUUCCAUGUUGGCAACAGCAAAGAUAAGGCAAAGUACAAACAAAAAAAAAAGAUAAGGCAAAGCAUAGCAAACUAGUCAUAACUCAACUAGAAAGAAAAUGUUGAGUGCCUAUGUGAAACUUUUGACCUCAACCUAACAAAAAUUAUCUGUAACACAUCUAACAGCAAAUUAUUGAUCGAAAUUUGAAAUAAGCUACAUGCAAAAAAAUGACAGCAUACUCUUCACCUGAAAUCAAAUAUAUCAAUACUUAAAUAAGAGGAAUCAAAUGAAUUUGAUCAUGACAAACAGUAAUUAUCCUAAGAUGGAUUUUUUUUCAUCAACAAAACACUAAUAAGUUAGAUAAGCAUAUACCCAGCUCGUUAAUUCUUUGACAACAAGCUUGCAAACAUCUCGUAUAGCAGCUAGAAUUGCAAGAUGGGAUGCGAUGUGAAGAGCAUUUGAUGCAUUUUCAUAGAGGCUCUUGAAAACCUGAAUCAUGAUACACAUCAUGAGAAGCUAUCAUCCUAAAAACAGCUGUAUAACAAACUUAAGUGAAAAUUAACCUUUUGAGCUACAGCCAACGCAGCUUCAUCUCUGCUUUCACAUUUUAGUAUGAUAUCUGGCACCUCAGCAACAACUCCCUGAAUACAAAAAUGAAUACCAGAGGUAUUACACUUUGUGUCAACUCCAUUAAAACAAAGAAUAAAAAAGACAGUCUAACCUGAAUUUCAAUGUCUCUGGCAUCGGUAGAAAUCAUGGCCUCCAACUGAAAGUAUUUUAUUUAGUUAAAAUCAUGAUUGGAAAAUUGCUCACAGAAGCAUUAAAGCGCUGAUGACUAAAAUCAUAUUUCCGAAAGUAAAGGCUGGCCAGAAAAAUAUCCAAAAAUGAAUAAAAGCUAAAUAAAGGUUGAAGCAAAAAAGUUAAAUAGGAUUCAUCUUCUAAGGAGCAACUAAAUUAAACCACCAAACAUUAAAAGUUCUAUCACCCUUCAGCAACAAUUUUAAAGACCAACACACAACAAAGAAACCCAAAACACAUUCCUCUUAGAUCAGCCCAUAUCUCAUGGCAUGUCGAAAACAUGAAUGUGUGAACUCAUACACAUCAAAAGACAAAAACUCACAUUCUUCCAACCUCCUCAAGAGGUUGUAUAAUUCAGGUAUGGACAAAAAUGUGAUGGAUGGCAUGGUAAACCACCAUACCCAAGCCCAGACACAAACCUGAUUAUAGGACAAACUUGAUAAUAAAACCAAAUUACAUUCGAUAAACCCAAACACAAAGCCUAUUUAUAUUGGAUCCAAUCCAGACAUUCUUCUAUUUCCUUUGACUUCCUUUCUCUUACUGUCAUGUCAUGUCAACAUUGGUCUAUUUUUUUUAUUAGAAUCAUUAGAAAAAAAUAGCCUUAGUAUUCAUAGAAACAGAUUCUUCCAAGGCACUUUUCACAAGAUUCCUUGCAAGCAAAUACAGAGCAAAAAUAAAUGCUAAAAGACAGAAAACUUGAGACCUCCCAUUACUUUAGAAAGAAAAUUCUAACCAUUUCAAAACUCAAUAGGUACUAGAGAUGAUAAUAUAAUGGUUAAUAUGAAAUGAACACAAUUUUCCAUCUGAGAUUUAAGAAUCACAUCUUGCCUCACAUAUAUCACCUGAGACAUGCCAUGCCAUUCAGAGUUUAGACAGAAAAUGGUGCAGGAAUUACACUAUCAAGUCCUGCACACAAUUCAUUCCUCUCCCAGGCCCUAUUACAUAUUUACUUUAAUUAAAUUUUAGGAAGGUAAAAUUCCAAGACUAGGGUCUGGAUCAAGUUCGGGUUCAGCCACUUUGCCUUUUAAGCCUAAGAAGUUGUUUAGUAAGUUUAAGUUUUUAUCAUUUUUAUUUGUUUUAGCAAAAUGAAAACUGAACAACACUUGCAAUAAUGUGCCAUCAAUUGAUAUCAUAAUCCUAAUCAUGGUUGGUUGGACUGCUGCAAAAUAAGUUGUCAAUUGAAGACUUGAAUUGUUCCUUCAAGUAGUAUACAUAAAAAAUUGUCAAACAAACACAACUGCAUUUCAAAAGAGAAUGUUUCGCUUCUUACAGAAAUUACUUUAAGGUUGUGCAAUACAGACAAUGCUAAUUAAGGUUUCUUAUUAUUUUACCAAAAAACUAAUAUACAAAGUACAGUGCAAAACCCAGCAUUAAAUUAGUCGAUAUGUCAACUUGUUGAAUUUUUAUGUUAAUUCUGAAAAUAUCAUAAGCACUAAAAAAAUGAUUAUCUUUGAAAUUAUGACUGCCCUUCUAACUAGAGUUGAUAUUAAAGGUACAUAUGUUUUUUCCGAUUUCCCUAGUUGAGAAUCAGGCAUCCUAAAUUUGGAAAAAUGAUCUGUCGGAAUACAAAUUAAACAGUCCAGGUUUUCACAUCAAUUCUAAGUAACAGAGACGAAUUAGUGUAUUAAAGUCAAUCAUGAAUAUACCACGUCACUACCAAAGGAAUACAUGGGUAGUAAGUUGGGCAAUAAACCUCCCCCACGCAACAAACAAAUAACUAAAUCCCUGAAGCAAAUUUUCUUGUAGCAGAAAUAAUGUUUUGUAGCUUAUGAAGAUAGGUUAGAGGCAUUUGCACCUUCUGAGCAAAUUGCUGGUACUUCUCCAAUGCAUCUCCAGUGCUCAGCAAUGAUUCAGGUAAAACAGUUCCCAGACGAUCUAUAGAAGGUGUUGGAGAUGGUGGCACAGCAGCUGUCAAAUCCUGAUACAAAUGUAUUUUUUAGAUAAGCAGCACAUUGUUGUUCUUAGAAUGAAAUUAAUACUGAAGCUUCCAAAACUAACUUUGGACACAACUGCUGGAUCAACCAUAUGCAGAUCAGGAGAAGUAACAGCAGGAGCUACAACUGAAUUCAUUUCACCACCAUGUUGGACGAGACUAUCAUUAGACCCACCAUAAGUUGGGGAGACACUACAAGAUAAAAACAAAACAUCUAGUACAAUUAUUUAAAAAAAACUAUUACUUUGCUUGACAGAAAACAUUAUCAAAUUAAACCUAAAAAGCUGCGCUGAACCACGUUCUGUUUCUUCUGAGAUAAGGUCCAACGGUGGAGCUACUGAGCUGAAGGGAACCACUUGGGAAGUGGAGUACACAUUGGAACUAGUGGGAGCAGAACUUGAACCAUACACACGUGACAGGGAAGAAUUAUUGACAGAACCACCCAUACCAGGAACACCAAGAGAGACAGCAGUUGAAUUCUGACCAGAUUGGUUUUGCCAAAUAUUCUUGAUAAAAUCCUGCAAAAGAAAUGAAAUACACUAGUACAAAAAUAACAAAAAAGAUGCUACUACAUAAGCAAUUUUAGGAAUAGUGAUUUGUUUUUACAUCAUAGACUCGCUGUUGUGAAAGGGAGAGACGGCCAGGUUUUGGACGAAGUGCCUCUGGCAUACGUGAAAAUGAACCUUGAGCAUAGGUAACAGCAUCAAAAUAUGCAGAUCCAGCUGCUUCUCUUUGUUUUCUUAUAGCAGCAAAUGCAGGACCUAUCUCUCCAUCAAUCAGCUCCACAGCCUGCCAAAAAUAAAAUCCAGUAGUCAUCAAUAAAACUUAAUAUUUUAAAGAGGGCUCAACAGUUAGCAAUGUAUCAGAUACGCAUUAGGCAAAGGGAUAGCAUAUUAAAGAAAAGCACCCAGUAUUAUACAUGUAAUACAAUGAGCCACACACACACAUAUAUCAUAAUUUUUUUCUCUCAGACCUGGCAUUUCAAAUAACCCAAUAAAAGUAACUAGCUCAACCACUUUCCAAAAAAGGUGGAAUAAAGGGAAGCCACAAUGGCUACAUUUACCACGGAAGAACAUACACCAACCUGCACUCAGAAUAUGCUUAUCAUCUCUUAAAUGGAAGCUAAUCUAAACUUCUGAACUUAGUCCUUAAAAACACAAUCGAUUUUUUUUCUCCCAGAACAUGAAUUAAAGUUUUUGAAUUUUUUUUUUUAGCUUUCUAUGUCAGAUGGUGGGUUUCAAGACAUGAAAAAGAUUCUUGAAACUGGCCGAGUUGGACAGUAAUUUAAAAUCAGAUGAUAAGGUCAUCUAGAAGCUUCCUUCGUUAAACCCACCUAUGAUUCAGAGAAUCUUAAGACCACCAUGGGAUGAUUUGAUAAACUGGCCUGAUAUCUACAUGGUUCGUCUGGUCGGCCACUGCCUCUUGGUGUUAUAGUGGUUGAAUCUUGCAAUGAUAACUUGUGGUAUGGGCAUCAAUUGUAUUCUAUUGCUUUCAAACCCCUCAUGAUGCUCUAUUAGAAGCAAUGAUUGUAAUAUAACCUCACUGACAUGCUUAGGAGUGCAUGACAAUCAAAUCAAAAUAAAUCCUUCGCAAACUUGGUUAUUUGAAUUAAAAACAUCCUUUAUCAUGAUACCUCUUUUUCUCAACAUGAACAUUGAUGAAGGAUUCUUGACCCAUGGUUGACAUCUAAGAAGUUUGCUGGUAUGUCAAUCGAGUUGUGAUCUAAUACCAAACUAGUAGGACUGAUGCUUCCUAGCAAACACUAGUUCCAUGCAUAAAGUAGAGACCCUUAUAGAAACAACCCAAGGAAAACUAGAUAAUAUUAUUGCUGAAAAUAGAAGAAAAAUAUAAAAAGAAGAGUACCCAUCAUGAAUUUAGUUGUUGUAAGAUUGCUUCCUAGCAAUCUAGUCACCAAAACAGCUUUCCAGCUGUCAGAGGAGAGAAUACAAUGACCCUCUCUCACCCCAGAAAGGCAGGAACCUUGGGAACUAGGACACUUUAAACUUUUAAUCCCAACCAACUUUGGGGCUUAUGCAAUAUAUGUAUUUAGAGAAUUCUAAUGAUAAUAGUUUUAGCUUAACAUAAAAAAGAAUUUAUUAUAGGCUAUAUAUGAUCUCACAACGCUAUUUUUCCUUUCCUGUACAUUGACCAAUUCACACUUUCAUUGCUAGUUGUGCAACAACCAUUGGACUUGUAUGAAUAGGAACAGAAACAAGAGGAUGAAACUGUUGCCCAACUACUAUUACGUAAUAAGUCGACAGCCCUUCAACUAUAGUUGUCAAAGUUCAGCUUGAGGAGUAGCAACUAGAGUUCACUUCGGGUUAUCACAAUGCAUUCAAAGAAUAUCGUCUUGGUGAUGAUGUUGAGCUAACAUGGCACAUGAGACUUAGUUGCAUGAGUCACAACCAACAUACGUGGAACUAAAGACACAUUGUAUGGAAUGCAUUGGGAUGCAACACGAAACAAUAUCGCUCAUUAACAAUGGGCUAAGGUGGAGAACAUAAAGACAACUCCUUCCUGAUAUAUUUAUCUUUUUGAAAUGUUAGAUUCAUUUCAAAUUUUAAUUUACUCAUUCAAUCAGGAUUUCUUAAAAGCAUGAGCAUUAGUGCCACGAUAAGGCUGAUGAUGUUUAGAUUGGACACCACGAUAACCAAGUGUCCGGAGAUCAAAGAACAAAAACAGUCUCUUUGUUUGCAAGGAUAAGGUUGGUUCGAUCGACUCCCAUCAAACCUUGCAUUGACAAGAGUUGCAUGCACAGUGCCAUUUCUUUACUUCUUAAUAUGAUUUGUAAGUCCAAUCCACACAAUCACAUUUACCCAAACAUCAAACUGAAGCUCUAUCCAACCAAUAAACCUUUUCUAAUACAAUGAUAACAACAAGGGGCAAAUCAACUCUGCCUUCUGCAAUUAAAUCAUACUUAAAUCUCAAGUAUUAUAACAUGAACAUCAGGAUUACUUCCUGAUAAGACUGCAAUGAGAGUGAAAACAAGUAUACUUGCUGUAUUAGCAAAAAAAUACCCAUAAUUAUGAAUGACAAGGACUGACAUAAAAUGAGUUGCAACUGGACAGCAAGAUCUUGCAUCAGUUCAUAUUUGAUUAAUCACAGUUUAUAUGUCAGUUGAUCAUAUUUAAAAUCCAACACUGGACUGCAAAUCAAUUCCAACCCAAGCAUGAGCAUAGCCCAUUCUCAAUUAGCAUCGGUCCAAUGGGCUUGACAUGAAAUUUAUUUAGUACACGUUGUUAAUAUAUGUAUUCAUAUAUUGUAAGAAGAAACUGAUUUCUAUCCUCAAACAUCUGUUAAGAUAUAAAGCAUAUGGUAAAAAUCUUUAAUCAAGGUACAUUAAGAGCAAAACACUAAAUCAUUACGUUCAGCCCUAAAUCAAGAAAAGAAAUUAAAACUUAACACAAGUUUGAAUUAAGCUUAUAAUAGGGCUAGUUUCAGCAAUAAUCAAGCUCAUUUUUAGUUGAAUUUGUUAAAUGAAUAUUAUAAAUUACCUAGGCUCAAGUUCAGCUCAGUCCAAAAUAAAUUUGUUUAGGUCCUUAUGCUAUUAGAAGAAUUCAUAAAUGUUUAGACCUGCAAAGAAUGCAAUGCUAGUAAAUUCAUAAUUUGUUUAGGUCUUUAUCAGCGAUUUUAAAAGGCGCUCGGGAGCUCGCCUAGGCGCUCGGGCGAGGCGAGGCCCGAGCGCCUCGCUAAUCUCCCAGGCACCGCCUGGGCGCUCGCCCGAGCCCAGGCGCUUCGGGCGAGCACCCGGGUUAACCAAGGUGACCGAACCAGGAUUUUAGGUCUGGUUCGGUCCUGGUUCGGUCUAUGAUGGUUAGUUGGUUCAAUCGAACCAACUAAAACUGAUAUAAGUGACAAUCGAACCCUAACCCUCGCUGCUGCCGAUCUCGAUCCCGCUGCUCGCCGCUGUCGCUGCUCGCGCCUCCCGCUGCUUGCAAACGCUACCGCUGUCGCCACUCGCACCUCCCGCUGCUCACCGCUGCCGCUGUCGCUUCCUCUUUUCUCGGUCAGCAGGCUCAGCACCCCUUUACACUUCCUUUUAACAGUAUACGUAUACUGUAUACUGUUAAUAUUAUUAAGUUUAUUUGAAAUGAUUAAUUUUCAAUACUGUUAAUAGAUUAAUAAUAUAUUAUUUUGAUUUUAAUACUGUUAAUUUUCAUUUAUUUGAAACUUUUUGUUAAUGUGACAUUGUGAUUUUGUAUCUUGGAUUUUCUUAAUUUAAUAGCAUAUUUUUAUUUAAAAUUUUAAAUAAUUUUAUUUAUUAAUUAUAUUAUAUUUUUUAUAUUUUAGCGUCUCGUUUCGCUCGGGCGAGCGCUCUGGGGUGUUUUUGGACCUUGGCGCCUAGCGCUUUUUAAAUCACUGGUCUUUAUGCUAUUAGAAUAAUUCAUAAAUGUUUAGUAUCUUAAAUUUAUUUUGACCUGAACUUCAACAACCUGCAAAGAAUGCAGUACCCAUAAAGUUCACCCAACCAUCAUCCAAAUUCAACUACAUAGGUAACUAACUAGGGUACCUAUUUUCCUACAUGUAAACGCCACUGAAUUAACAAGUACACUAAUCUGGCUUAAGUGGGUCGGGUAGGCAUUGACACCCAAGACAAUGAAGCCCCUGCCAUUUAUGUACAGACAAUGGGCACAUUACCAGCAAAUUUGACCAGAACGAACCCAAUUAAUUAUCCAAAUAUGCAAACCAUCCCAAACACAACUCCAGGCACCUAAUUUUCCCACUCAUACACGCCCUAAACCAAAUUAACAGGUACCCUAUUCCAACUUAAGCAGCUUGGGUAGAUGCAGGUACAAGCAAUCCAUCGCAACAACUACGAGGAUCAAAAACCAACAAAGAUAUGCAGAAAAAAACUUACACAGUAUGGAAAUGAUAUAUCAAUAUCGGGUAUAAGAAGAAAAAUCAAUUGUGUACCUUCUCUGAUGCCACAUUUUCAAUUACUGCACAACCAAGAUCUAGAUGAUCGGUUGUAAGAAUCUGAACUAUUUGGUCAAUACGAUCAGUAGUAACACUCAAAGUUUGAAGAAGACUUCUAAGAUGAGUUGAAAGGGCCACCCGAAGAGGUUCCUGAUAAACUCCGCAUGUAAAUAAGCAACGUCAAUUAAACCAAAAAAUAGUACCAUAAAGGACUUAUCAUAAGCAUAAACAUUUCAAGUCAAUCGAUGCAUCCCAACAUAGCCAUAACUAAUGCCCCAAGUCAAUCCAUGCAUGCCAUUUAAGAAAAUAAAGCUAGCUAUAGAAAUCAGUGGCCCCGUGAUUUAUGACCGAAGAAACAACCUUGCAAGUUACAUGAGCCAAACUUCCAGCUAAAGUGCCGACCAUUAGAUGGGCAGAUCGUGAUAUGACACCGUCAUCCGUCUCCAUAGCAUAAUCCUAGGAUUACAGAGAAACAGAAUAAAGAACAAGUGUUCAGCUCAAAUGCAGAAAAGCCUUCAGUUUACUGCUAAACAAAAGAAAUAAGAAACUGAAAUAACCUUCAGCACGAGUUCCUUGGUCGUCCUGCUAGCUAUUGUCACACUUCGCUGAAUAACAGGAGACACAAUUUCUCUAAUGGCCCUAUCCAUUGCCACUUGAAUAAUUCUACAAGAAUAAAAUAUACCAAUUCAGGACAAGAAACAUGUGUGGAAAAAAUGUGAUUUAUUGUCGAUAAAAAAAUUAGGCUAAAAGCAGGUACCUAUGAAAUUGCAAAUGUGAGCCCAUGGAACUAAGCUUCGGAUUAAUAUUGAUGUAAGAGUCAGAGUUUGGAAUUAUUGUCAGAAGCUGCAAAAGAUGAAACAAUUAUACAAACACAAAAAAAAUUAUGAAGCAUAGGGAAAAAAAUUAAACUAAGAAUGUUGUAAUAUAACUUUGGAAUAAAAAACAAAUAAUUUAUUAAUAAAAUAACUAGUUCAUAAUUCAGCCUUUUUAUAUUAAUUAAAAAAUAAAAAAUUAUUUUUACAUCAAUUAAUACAAAUUACUUACAACUUGAUUUCUAAGUCAAAAAAAUGCAGUUUCAUGUAAUUAUCAAAUUAGAUAAUUUAUUGAUUGCUUUUUCCAAAAUGAGUUACUAACUGAGUCAUUCAAAACUUCAUAAAUUAAUAUUCAUUUUGAAAAAGAAACUUAACAAUGAUAGAACAACCCCUAACCAGUAUACAAAGUCAACAAAAAUUAGCAUUCAAGUCACAAGUAAAGCCCUAGGUUGUGCUAAAAACCUUAUGUGAGCAUGUUAUCAAAGAUUUCAAACAUUUGUAUCAAAAAAGAAAAAGAUUAUGUAGAGUAUCGGGUGGAUGAACUUGGAAAAAAGAAUAGACCUGGCUCAAAGAAAAAGGUGAUGGUGAAGGAGAUGGUGAUGGCGAAGGAGAUGGUGAUGGAGAUGGUGUAACUUGAGUCAAACCCUGAGCAGAUGGAACACGUUCAGGCAUGUUUAUAACCCCCAUUUUGUCAUCCUCCAAAACGGAAUUUGAAGCCAGAUGUGGAGCAGCAGCAUACUGCACCAGAUUAACAGCAGGAAAAAACACAAAACUUGAUUAAGAACAAAUGUCAAACGAUGAUGUAAGUUAACAUAAGGGCAGAAUGACCAACGACCUGAGUCAAUGCAUUUGGAUGGCUUGUCGGAUGAGGUGAAUUAUUGACCUCAGCUUGCAACUCUACAUGAUUCAAUGCAGGCAAUAAUCCUGAAUUAACUUCAACAAAUGGUGGUUGUGCUGCAGUGAUGUCCUUGUUUGAAAAAUCUGGAUUCCCCUCUACUUCACGAAUCUUAUCUUUUAGAAGUGCAGUUGGUUUAACUUCUUUCAUAUCUACGCCAAGGUUCUUAAAUAAAACCUGCAAAACAAGAAUGAAAGUGGAAAUGGUCCUUUAUAGAACAAUGACAACAACAACAACAAAAAGUCAUAAUUUCCCAACUAUCUGGGAUCAGCUACAUUGAUCUUUUUUCACCAUCGUAAACAAAGUCUCGGUUACAUGAAAUCAGACAAUGUAAGGGACAAAUAACAAUUACCUCUAUGUCAAAUUUCAGGUUCAUUUUGAGGUUUGGUAGAUUAUAGAUCUCAGCAAGCAAACUGAGGAUGCCCAUAGUCCAAGGAUUGGGAGGUAGAUAAGCUACACUCGAUUGGCAUGGUUCCAGAAUCUACAGUAAUAUUAGUCCCUUAACAUUAACUAUAUCACAACAAUACCAUAAGCAACUAAUAAAUUAAAAGAAUACAUACCUUUGAAGUAAAUGGGAUCACAGCAAUCAUCAGCCCCUUCUCGUAUGCCUAGCAAGAGAACAUGAUUCACAUAAGACCACCAAGGAAUAUUUCAAAGCAACAAAGAACCAACCUUCAUUACAUUAAGAAAAAGGGCUGCCUAAUAAGAAUUAGCAACAAGGAAAUGGCCCAAUGCACACCCCAGACAAUGUCAAUUAUCCCAUUCCACAUGGAAUAUCAAUGAGUUAUUACACAUUGCACACUGAGUGAUUAAAAUCUUUUAUCUUCAGAAUUCUAUCAUCUUUCAGUUGGGUAAUUUAGUCAAUGAAAAUAACAUAAUGAGAAUUCCUUUGAUUUUUAUCCUUGUAUUCUGUUCAUCGAGAUAUCCAGCUUUCACUCAUGAAGUCAUGACAGGCCACUAGUCCCUUGGCUACUUCAGGACUUAAUGAAUCAGUCAGAGAGCCAGAUACCCAUUUGACAAACAACUUGGACCGUCCAAUGGCAUAAUAGUCCAAGUUGAAUGCAAUGAAGUGCAGAACCUCAUAAAUUUUUCCUGACCUUCAUUCCCGAAUUUUGCUUACUUAUAAAUGCUAUGAUACCCCAGUGACCCCAAGCACCUAUAUGAAGGUAGCACCUAGCAACCAGUUUGCCACAGUUAUCUGAAAAAAUAAGACCUAAAAGGGGCUCCAUUCAUGAUUAGAGUUUCUACUGUCUUGUGAACUUUCCUCUUGUUUUAUGCUCGAAGCUUCUCCUGUAACACUAAUUUGGAAAUCCUUACUGUAAUAACAUAACAGCAUAUAACACUGCCCAUCCUUCUUUACUCCAUUCUCUUUUCCUGAAUACCAAUCCUUAAAUAUGAUCAUAUUUCAAUGCGAAAGCAAUACUACAAUAACCUUUUUUAUAGACAUCCAUAAUCCUGUCAAAUCCAAAUAUUUUAAAUAUGUCGCCAUGUUGCUCAUCCCAGGAACUACGUUAAAGCUUUAGUCAGCCAAAUCCACAUGAUCAAGUAGUUUUAUAGCCAGAAAAGUAUAACAAGGUGUACCUCUAUUAUCAAAGCUUUUGGAUCAAUUUCUCUGGCACGCAAUGCUUGAUUCCUACCGAUUGUGAACUUCCCAAGCCAGCUACCAAGAUUUUUAAGCAAAGAACGUUCUUCAGAACUUGAUUUUAUAAGAUCAGAUCUUAGCAAGACCUAAAAGAAAAAAGAGUCAGAAAAGUAAGGCAAUUAAUAUUAAGACAACAGCAUGAGACCGACAAACAGAUAUAGAAAAAAUAACCUUGCAGUUCUCGUAAGUAGCUUUAACAAUCUCCUUAUUUAGUGAUUUUGAGUUAACUUUAUCCAAGAACUUCAGAUACAAGUCAUGAAAGUUUGGUUCGAUGCUCGCUCUGCAAGAGAAACAUAAGUUAAACAGGCAUACAAAAUAACUCAAAGUUCUGGUGAUCAAUGUGAAAGCAUGUAAUUCCAAAAGAUGUUAUCAGACAAAUUUUCCACCUUUUCAUCACCAUAUACUGCGCAAACCAAGGAUAGUAUUGCUCCUUGAGAAUCUCACCAAACUCUUUUGCUUUUGCAUCCAUGUUUGAAGUUGAAAUGUUGUUAAUCAUAAAUAAGAUCUUGUCUUGAGUUUCUGAUGAGGGAGCCUGAACAAAAGACAUGAAACACAUAUGAAGCCCACAAAGGAACAAUAAAGAACAAAGAUAACAAGAAAAGGCAUGUAAGAACAUGCAAAACUAACUUCUAUCGGUGUAUCUCUUCUCUCUGCUGCCGCAACAAGUGUUUCGAUGUUCAAUGCAGCCCCAAAACCUGUGCUGUAAGAAGGUUGCCGAAGCAUGCCUAGAGAAAGAAUGCCCACCACAUUCAAGUACAGAAAUACAUUAGGACAACAGGAAAAGAACAAACAAGACAAAAGGACAUCAAUAUCCAAAAUAUUGCACCAUCUAUCAUUAGCCAAAGGGAUGAGAUGAGAAUAAGGAACCAGUAAAAGAACAAACUCUAUAAUAUAGCAUUCAUUCAUUCAUUUUACCUGCAGGUGUUGCACUUCGAGCACGAAGAAAACCAGGAGAUGAUGAUACAGUAGUUGUCACACUGGCAGUAUGGUGCGAUGAUGUGGUUUGCAAAGGCUGUAAAAUAGUUCCCAUGAUGAGGACAAGCAUAAUGACGUGGGAAGGGUUAAAGAACAUUAAAGAAAGACAGUAGAUAUAAAACAAAGUAAUAACAGUAUAUAGUCAGCCAUCUUUCCAGCUUCCAAUCGAUUCAGAAGACAACAAGCUCACUCCUAUAAGACCAUCACAAGAACAGAAACAAUACCUUCUGAUUUGUGACAGAUUCAACAGAUCCAGAUAGAAAUGAAGAUUGCCCAGUAUGGGAUAGAAGCGGUUUCGUAUAACUGACAGACAUGGUAGAGGCUUUAGUCCUUUCACCGAGGAAACCCUGAUGCCUCUGUUGAAGCUGUAAAGAGGAAAACUGCUGUCCCAACUGCGUAGAAGUGGAACUCAUCAAAUGCCAUGAUGCUUCAGAUGCCUGAGCAAACAAUCAAGAAGCUCAACAGAGAAGUGAAAUCCAGUUGCCUUAACUGGAGUGUAAGCACAUCAAAUUUUAAAGGGAUGGCAAGCAAUAUAAUAGCAAGCAACAGAAUCCAAGAUUAUAAUAUAUAUUUCUUAACACUUAAUAGAAAAUUUUCCCCCUUCCAUAACUCAGGUCAUUGAGCUCUAAGACAUCUAAUUAGCAGUAACAUGGUGAGACAUCAUAAAGUAGAAGAGCCACAAAAAAAAGUACUGAAUCACAAUAUCCAAUUCCCUGUAUUAUGUGCAACUAGGAUGAUGCCCUUAAGAAAUCUUAAAGUUGCCAUAUAGGGGUCUCCCAGGACAUACCUCCACGCUUUCAGUAGCAGCAGUUCCCGAACCUUGUUGCUGAUCAACAGGCAUUGCAUUAACACUAUUUGACUCUGACUGACUAGAAGAAAUUCUUGUUAGUUCCCUCUCAAUAAAAGAAACCAACUCAGCAUGUGUUCCACGCAAAUGAGAUAUCUGUAAUAUAUGAUUGCAAUAUUGUGGCCACUCAACAAGACGAUCCAUGAACUGCUCCAAGGCCUUGGUACCAAACAUAAACAUCUGAACCAAACAGACCUCACAUUAUGUUCUAAGAUCAACGGAAACAAAGGAAACUUCAAACAAAAUUUACGAACUUUUGAAUCCACCGAUUUCCGCAAUGCAUCAAGAACCCCACGCAAAGCAAUACCAAGCGCAAGAUGAGUCACAAGUUGGUGCUUUAUUAGAGAACCUACGCAUAUAGGGAACACCAAAAAAAAAGAUUAUGAACAGACUGAGGUAAAGAAAGAACACAGCAUUUUUAAAGUGUUCACUUGAUGGUCAAAAAUUGAACACUAUUUCUGAGCCCAUAUGGCAAACACCUGGGCAAGCAUAAUCUAAAGUUGCAGCAAUCAUGUCAUGUUUUACAACAAGCACCACAUAUAAGGAAACCAAAAGGCUACCAGAUAAACAAAAUAUGGCAUAACAAAAAGGUGACAAGAAACAAGGCCUCCUAAACCAGAAGAUUCGUAAGGUAGAGGCUGAAAUGCUAGUUUAUUAGUCAUAUUGUCUGCAUUUGUGUUGCCUCUGUUACAAGAGUAUCAUGCACAAAUAUCACGAAAACAUAUACAAAACCAAGGGUUCACUAAGUCUAGUGUGUACUGGCUGGUAUUUACCGGUCCAAGCACGAACCUGCAAGUGAACUAUCCAAUUUUGAGGAAUCCACGUGUGGUACAGGACUUACCACCCAGAAACCAUAUGAACCGAGCAGUAAGCCCAUUUUUCUUCUUUAAAUUUCCAUUGUUGAAUUUUAAUCACCUGUGGGUCAAAUAAUCUGUGGCACAGAUCCAAUGCAAAAUCUGUGAAUCCAUAGGCCAGACAGCCUACAUACCAAGUAGAUCCAGUACCAGAAUCUUUCUUAUUUCUGGCAUCUGUCACUACUUUUUUUUAUUGUUUUUUCCCUUUAAUAUCAUCACCUCUCUUUCUCUUUGUAACGAUCCCUGCUCAAAGGGUCAUUGUUACCACCUUGGGACAUAACUGCUACCAACUAUUGCUUUAUGUCCCCCUCCUGGUAUGCCUCCUCGCUCUCUUCCUCCUCUUCUGUCUUUUUCUCUGGCCCCUAAAAUUGUCCCAUAUUGAUCGGGCCUCCUACCAAUAUUGAAACCUGAGCAUGUAGGGUAAUGGCACCAAACAGCAAAUUACAAAUUUGGCAUGGUCGCAUCUUCACUUGGAUCACAUUUAUGGAUGCUUGUUCUAUGUUCAACACAUUGUCGUUCCAUACCAAAAUAACGUGGAUCUUGAUAACAGAAUUCAGAACAUCAUUACUUCUUUAUUCAGCUGAGUAAGUCCUCCAGUUAAAAUUGAUUGUACAAUUGCAAUUCUACAACCAACUGUUGAUUACAAUUUUGAAGGAUUUGCAUCUCAGUUGAGAAGAAUGGUAGUACCGAAGCUAUCACAUCAUCUAGCAUAACAGCCUAUCUUCUAGUUAAUACACUCCAAAGUUUGCAACCAAUAGAAUAACACUGCACCAAAUGUUGAUCCAGUGAACACGACAACCAAAAAUUGAUUCCUUCGAUUGUAAAUUGAAUACUGUACAUUACCUAAAUUAUGGUUUUCUCUCAUGUGGAAGAGCACAAGGAAGCUUCAGAACUCCUUCCUUAGCUCUUGUUCCUUUCAGGCUCUUAUUUCCUGCUACUGCUUUGCAAGCACAUUGCAAGGCAUCAGCUUCCUCCGUCAUCGCCUCCUCCGCAUCCCUAUCAAGCCUCCUUGAACCCCCUCUCCCUCAUCCUUUUCAAUAGCUCCAUGCUGCCCUCCCAAUCAACAGCAACCCCCCUCUCAAGACCACGACAAUGCCCUCUCGCUCCUCAUAAUCCUUAAUUAUAUUUUUUAUAAAUUGUUAUAUAUGUGAGAGCCUCACAUCAAAAAAUGAUUAGCAUUAGUAAUACGAGACGAGGAAGAGAAAAACCUAAAAAGACUUUUAAUAGUAAGUAUAAAUAAAGAUUUAAAUACUUUUAACUAAACAUAUGGCUUUUAUAGAUCUAAAUGCCCUCUCGCUCCUCAUAAUCCUUAAUUAUAUUUUUUAUAAAUUAUUAUAUAUGUGAGAGCCUCACAUCAAAAAAUGAUUUAACAUUAGUGAUACAAGACGAGGAAGAGGAAAACCUAAAAAGAUUUUUAAUAGUAACUAUACACAGAUUUAAAUACUCUUAACUAAACUAUGGCUUUUAUAUAUCUAAAUGGCAGCAAAAGAUCCAUAUAGCCAACCCCAAAUGGUUGGAACUUAUGGUUUGUUGCUGCUGUUGUUAUUGCUGUAGAGACUUGCAUCACUCGAAUGAGCACCUAGUACCUCGAGCAUUUGGACACCUUAGCACAUUUUAUCGCCUAGCACCUUUUGACCAUACUGGUUGGAUCCUUCAAAUCCAGAUUAAAUAUUGGUUGAUCUAUUUAAAACAAAAUUGUUGGCCACUAAAUUUUCAGUUACCAUCCAGCUUCUCGCUAUUUGAUAUAGUAUUAACAUUCCUACCUAGAUACUGCACAUGUAGCAGCACUACAUAACGCAUGUAAUUCAUAAACAAGUAAUUAGAUAAGAUGUUCAUUGCAUGAGCUAUUUCCUGAGGGACUAAAGGUCACCUCAGUAUUAAAAUAGGUAUAUCCAGUCUCACUAUUAAGUUAGGUAUAUCGAAACAAGGUUGCCUAUUCUAUACAAAAACUAUGGCCCUUAACAAUAAUCGGUUCACAUGCUGAGGCCACUAAGAAGAAUUGUUUCAAGGCACCAUCUUAAAUCUUAAUGUAAUAUGGCAUGUUUAAACCCAACCACUUCUUUAAUUUGGUAGUGAGAAAUGGUUCAACUUUCCUAAUAACCACCAAAAUUAACAAUGUUGAGGGACGAAGCCUUCAAAUUUCUUUUUAGCUAGUGGCCAUAACACGUGAAUCUAACCACCUUAUCACUAGAUACCUCCCAUAUGUUGAAAAUACCUGUUAGUAUGCUUUUUUAAUUAUAAGUUACAGUUGAAUAACUAAACUGUUUUAUAACAAGAUAGAUAAGAGAAAGAGGAUUUCUCACAAAUGAAUCCGAGAACAUCACAGAAGAAACAUGCAUCACACUCCAUUCUAAGUGUGAACAGACAAGGAGAAAGAUGUGUGCAAAAUACUAUCCCUCAAAGAUACCACCAAGGAAAGAAAGAGAAGAAAAUGAUGAUGAUGAUGAAAAAGAAAGGAAAUCUACAACCACAACAGAAAAGAAUAACUAUAUAGUUGUAUCUUGUAUUAAACUUUCAUCACAAGUGAAAUCUAUCAAAAUUUAAGCAACAAUGCAAACAUUUGUCAAGAACAACGAGAUUUCAUAGGUAGCCUGGCAAAAAGGAAAUGAGAGUUAAAGAGACACUCUAGAACAAGAAUAAAUAUCAAAAGAAAAACCAAUGCAACAGACAAUUAAUAAACUCUCACCAAAUAGCACUGCAACUAAUUUUAAUUGCCUGUCAGGAUACUUGGGAAAGAACUUGUACUCUUCAAACAGGUUUGCAAUGAUACAUUCAAAAACCAUCUGUUCCCUGAAUUUAAUUGAACAAGUAAAGAAUAUUCAUCAAUCAGCAUCUUAAGAUAAAACAAAGAGGUAAAGAGAUCUCAACAAUGUAACCAUUAGCAAGGAAAAUUAAGGCAAUCACUUGGAAUUCUCAGAUAUUCCAUAAAAUGGCCGGUGACAACCAUAGUUCAAAUUUUACAACUUGUUAUUCUUAAAAGAAAACCUGCCACAAAUGAAAAAAGAAACACUAGUAAUCUAGUAGAUUUCAAAAAGUAGCUAGAUCUGAAGCAUUUCACACAUGAAAACAAUACAGAAGAUAGACGAAAAUGAUGUAACAAUACGCUUCUCUAACAUGAAAUGAUAAUGUUCUUGGACAUGCUGUGUUGGCAAAUUCCUUCUCCAUGUGAAUAUGUCAUGGGGUUGUGCCUUCUCCAGUGAAGCAUUAAUACAUAGUAAAAGCUUGAGAUCCAUCUGAUGAACUAGAACUUGUUGAGAGGUUCCAAAGAAGCAUGAUAAAGUACUUGUGAAUUUAUCAGGACAAAUGCUUUAUACUAGGACAUGUGUAUCAUUUUCAUAAGGAAUCUAAACAAUUCAGAUAUCAACAAUAUGGGCAUUCAUCAGACCUUUAGGUAAGUAUAAUCUGUCGCAUGUGCACACACUCAUCAUACUCUUUCUCUUGCUCAAGUUGAGAAAGAUGAUCUGUAUACUUGUUGCUCAAGAAUACAUGAGGCUUUCUUUUCAGAUUUGAUCUGAAAAACAACUGAUCAGAUCCUCUAACAUUCCUUGUAGCCUUGUGGGUUAUUAGGGAUUAGACAUUAUACACCAUAGUGUUCAAACCAGGGUUUGUUGUACCGAUGCAUACGGUCGGAUAUGAGCAGUACGUGCCAAUCCGAUAGGAUACCGAUACGCGGACCACCCUCUACUGAGCGAUACUGAUCACUUGACCAAUACGGGUGAUACGAGGUUUGUACCGGGCGGUAAUAGUUAAAAUCUGAUCGUUACCGACCUGUACCAAUCGAUAAUGAUACGAUUUCGACCGUUACCAAUCAAGGGCUAAGAUUGCCUUAUUUCAAACGAUCAAUUUGACCAUUUGAUGCAUAGAAAAGGGUUUUUAAACCCUUUCCUCCCUCCUCUUUCAACUCAUUUUACUCUCUCAAUCUCUUAAACUCUCUAAGACUCUUUUUCACUCACAUCUCUCUCUUAUUCUCACAUUUGCACUCGUCUAAACUCAACAGAGCUACGAUUUAUAGAUUGGAUCAAAUUUAGGAGACUAAUUUGGGAGGAUUAAGAGGCCAAAACAUGCCACAUUUGCCCUUGCAUCAGGAGCUGCCUCAGACACAUGUGGUUCACAACAAUCAAACUAUGACCAUCAUCACAUUGAUACACCAAUAACAUACGGUGUAUCAGUGCAAUAUGUCGUGGGACCAAUUUCAGGAUUUGGUCCAAUAAACAUAUCAUAUUGAUAUACAAAUACAUAUGAUCGAGGACUACAAUCCAUCGUCCGUGGAGUCCCGUCCUUUUUGGUGGCAGAAGCUAGUAUAUCCAUUGAUUGAUUACUUAAUUCAUUUGAAUCUUAAAAUUUAAGUUGUAUAAAAAAUAAUCUAACAACUAAAAUAUUUUUUUUGUAAAUAAUUCAAUAUUAACGAAAGGACGAUCCGAAACAUACCACAAAGCUACUUCUCAAAACCUGAAAAAUAUGUGACAUAAUUAUUUUCUAAUUACAUUAUUUUUGCUAAAAUUAUACUAAAUUUAUAUUUAUUUCUAACUUACAAACCUUAAUCUAACUUUUUUUUCUAUUUUACAGGUAUUUUUGGAGGUUUUUUUUGAUGAUUUUGGGCAUAUUGUCGAUACAACUCAGUACGUACCAUACCUAGCAAGGCUCGGUACACCGGUACGGACCAAAAUUGCAAUCCUUGGUUCCAAUUUCCAUCUAGCCUUUUUGAAACUAUUCUGUCAACAAAAAACCUCUUGGUUUGUAGAGCAAGUAUUGUGUUGAUAAUCAGGGAUGCUAAGAGGAGACAGACUUAUGUUGGUGCAAGUGAAUGACAAGUCAUCGAAGAUGCAAGAUAAACUAGGAGACCAAGAUUCAAGAUCUUGUGAAAACUAGGCACAGAAGAUGAAACACAAGAUGUGCAACACUUAGCAAAGCAAGUUCCAUUUAAAAGCAAGAAUCUAUGACAUUUGGAUUUGAAUGUUGAUAUAUUAUGUCAUCAAAAAGUGUUCACACCCUAAAUCAAAUGGUUUGGAUUUUUAAACAAGAUCAAUUAACACUACUAAGGUGGGUCCUAUGGAGAACUCUUUUUCACUAGGGUCUAGUAUCAAAUUUUCAAGAUCUAGAGGUCCACAACUUAUCUCUUGGUCAUACUUGAGGCAGAAUAGACCAAUUAAAUUAUUUUCCCUUGAAUUGAAGUGUGUCAAUCAAUGUAAAAUAGCAACUCACAUAUAAGUGACGAUUAUUUGAGUACCAUGCCAUGAUAAACUACUAGUAUCUAUGUAAAGAAUUGAUAGCGAAAUCAAGAUCAUCCAACAUUUUAUUGCUUACUGAGACAAAUCAACCAUGUUCUCUUUGAUGAUCUAAUUAUUGUUGGGCGUAAAAAUAAGGGAGUGACAUUUACACUUACAUAAAUAGCUUGUUUAGUCACACAUCAAAAGCGGGAGAGAGAUUAUGAUCGGGCUUAAGGUUAAGACAAUCUCACAAGGAACACCUGGAAACAUUUCCGGAAAUGUGCUUUAAGGUUGUAUGUCCAAUUUACUAAGCUAAUGGGCUUAUCAAAAGGUACACGACAGCUCGUCCCAAAGAAACCUACCAACUCCAAGAAAGAAAGGGCUAUCCAUAGAUAAUACAAGAGGCACAUCAUGACAUGGAGCUUGUGACCAUGCCAUCUAAUAGGGAAUGUUUCUAGGUUAUGUAUUAGACGUUGAUGAGGACGUUGAGUCUCUAAACGAAGGAGAACAUGAUGCCGCAAAGCAGGCCCACAUCAAAAGAAUGAAGAUUCAUAUGAUGGAAUAUAUGAGCAAAUGGGCCAACCACUAGCAAACUCAACGUAAGCAAUUUAAGUCAUGUGGUUAAAAGCUCAUAUAUUGGAUUACAACAAACUAGCGCUAUAGGACUGGGUCAUGACAGUAAGCCUAACAUUAUCAUGUAUUUUAAGUUUUAACACAAAAUUAGAUGAUAACAAUACAUUAUGCAACAAAUAUGGUAAUUCAGGAAUUCUUUAAAGUUAAAACUGGACCAACCAAAUUACAGGAAAAACAACCCAAAUUGGAAUAAUCACUGAACAACCCACAAAUGCUAAAAGGAGAUAAAAUGAAAGCUUAAUCAGAAUGAAAAUCAUAUUCAGAAGAAAAAAAAAUAAAUCAAAAUGACAGACCUUUUGUCAGAAGAUUCUUUAUAACGUGCAAGCAUCUGAACCAUUGCCUCAACGGACAAUUGUCCAGCGAACAUUUGAUGGAAGUAAGCGUUUGCUUCAGACUCUAUAUCAUCAGAGAUGCCCUCUGAAACUGCUCCACCCACUGUUCCAGCAUUUUGAGUCUUUGGAGGAGAUGAGAUAUGCAGCUUCUUCAUUUCCUCAAAAAGCUGGUGAGAAACAAGCUGUCCGGAAUGGGCCUGAAGAACCUGAAUAAUGACAUGAAUUUUUUACCUGCAUUAAUUUUUUGCAACAUCUCCCAAGAAAAUGCAUCAUAUAUAUCAAUGGCUGAUAGAAAUACAGAAGUCCAUAAUGAACCUUGAAAAAUACAGAGCAUGUCUCACGGUAGGCAUUCAGAACAGCUGGUCGAGACUGUGGAAGAGAACCAUCUGAUACAUCAUUGGUUCCAUCGCCAAGUACCUCUUUUAAGAACUUCAGACAAUCCUGGGAUCAUGAAACUCCUUAACCUCAACAGCUCGUGCAACAAGAAUGAAAGACUUUUAACAACCUAUGACAUUUACUAGAACGUGUAAGAAUAAGAAAAGGCAGGUUUGUUACCUCAAAAAAAACAUCUUUAUAUACACUCAAAUUUUCAUUCAACCAAUUCUCAAGAUUCAUAUGAUCUUUCCUAGAAGCAAUGGCAGCCAGUCUAAUGCUAAAAGCAAAGGGAGUUGUAGCCAACACUGAUGAUAGGAUCUGUCAUGGAAAAAUGGAUAAGUUCACAUGUAUAAAAAACAAACUACUGCAAGCAGAAAAAGCAAGAUAAACAAAAAUUUGAUAAUCUGGGAAAUGUACGUCAUGCAUGCAUCAAAGCAUGCAUGAACAUACCUAAAAAGUAGCAAGCACGAAUUCCAAAAGCAAAUUAUCUUAAUCCCUACAUCAGUAAUCCCUCUCUCCAAAAUAAAUGAUAUAUUGUCAGUCCACAACAUAAAACUAGCAGUUUCUAAGUCCUUAAAGCAUUUUUCUAAGAUCAAACACCAAUUUUCUGCAGAUCACUAUAUUUGCCAGAAAAGAAAAUUAAAAUAUUAGCAUACGUGAAAAAAUAGUGGAAACAUGGAUGAGUGAAUUUACAAAACAUGUAGCGCAUUGGAAAGGAAGAUUAACUUGCAACUAAAGCACUAAGCCAAAACCAAGCUCUUCUUCUUCAAGCUUGAGCUAAAUUUCCUAGCUUAGUAAGCCUUGUUUUGAUGGAAGUCAAACUGGAUUAAGUUACAAUCGCGUUUGGACAAACUGACAAAAACAGGUUCAAUCACAUAUCAUAUAGGAAAUACAAGAUGCCCUAACCCUUCUAGCCAAAUAGUGUCUUCCCCCAUCAUUAUCUCUUUCCCUUUCUCCUCUUCUCAACAGUCAUAACAGGCUGUUGCUAAUUUAUCAAUGCAGUUGCAACUAAUCACCGAAUUUGAAAAUCCAGAAAAAUUGCUUGAGAUACAUGGUGCAACCUCUAAAAGGUAAGAUCCUGGAUUAUCACCUCUUGGUAUGCAAAGAGUGAAUGUGACCAAGCUAAAGCAAAAGUUGCCAUUAGCGUGGGGUAGAGAUAUGAAAGAACAAAAAAAGAAUCCAACCAUAGUCAUCCAAAGUCCACCCUUCCAAAAGCCAACUGAUAACAACCUUCUUCAUUUCUAGUCCCAACCAAGAAAACCCAAUAUCAUUCAAACAGAUUUUAAGUUUUACUUGGCCUGGAUGAGAACUCGUAUUGGUAAUCACAUCGUCGGAUUAAAGACACCAUAACAGAUAAAGUAACACCUAAAUUACAUCUAAUCCAACCCAAUCCAAUAAAGAUAAGAUUGAUAAAACCUGAUGCAUCUAGGGGAAGGAAUAUUUGAAUCCACCAACCCAAGCCCCACCCUUGAAUAUCAAUUCACAAAAAAAAGGACAUUUCAGAGGAUCACAAUUUGAACAUGGAAAAAUCCCAUCCAUCAAACUGAAUUAGAAUUUGUGAAAGCAUUUACUUAGUAUCACAUACACAACAAUAGCAAAGCCAUAAUCCCAACUAUUUGGGAUCAGCUACAUAGAUCCGUUGUUGUCAUUGAGAUCUAUAAAAAUUCAUAUGUUUAGUUAAGCUUAGAGUACUUAAAUCUUUAUUUAUAGUUUCUAUUAAAGUCUUUUUAGAUCUUCCUCUAUCUCUCCUUGUACCACUAACAUUAAUCAUUUCAUCUCUUCUGACUAUUGCAUCGGGAGGUCUCCUAAGUACAUACUCAUAAUAACUUAAACGAUUUUCUCUCAUAUUAUCCACUAUCAAGGCGAUACCUAAUUGUUCACAAAUAAAAGUAUCUCUUUUCCUAUCUUUCCUAGUCACUUCGCACAUACAUCUUAAUAUUCCCAUCUCAACAAUAUAAGCUUUUUAUAUAUGUUAUUUCAUAACUGCUCAAUACUCAAAUCCAUAAAGCAUUGUUAAUCUCACAACUAUCUUAUCAAAUUUUUCUCUUAAUCUCAAAGGUAUCUGAUAAUCACACAAGACUCCUAACGCUCCACUUUUACUUAAAGAAAUUUCUCGUCCAUCCAACUUAACUAUAUUCUCCUGUCUAUUCUUAGAAUUACAAAAAUUGCAUCUCAUAUAUUCAGUCUUAGUCCUACUUAAUCUAAAACCUUUAGUUUCUAAAAAUUGCCUCCAUAGCUCAAGUUUACAAUUGAAUCGACUUAGGCCCUCAUCAACUAAAACAAUAUCAUCGGCAAAUAACAUAUACUAGGAAGGUCUAUCAUGUAAACGACUUAAUAUCACAUAUCAGCAAAGGUAAUUAUAAGUUCAAUGAAUUUAAAUUCCUAAAAAAGUUUUAAAUGAGAAUAUCCACACAUCAUUUGACUCCACAAAAAAAAAAUCUACAUUCAACACAUUCAUAGAUCUCUUAAUCUAAAAUCACAAAAAGGAGAUAGAAAACUUUGUUGUUGAACAAAGAAUAAAACUAAAAAACAAGAAAAGGGGCACAAAACUAAAAAAAAUAUCAGGAGAAAGGGCACCUACGAGAUCCCUGUUUGGUGCAUCAGCCAUCAUUAAAUCUGGUUGUCCAACUAGCUACUAGGUAGAUUAGUAAAAUUUUUAGUAAAUUGAAACACUCAAAAAACAACUAGAGCUAUACCAAGUUAUUUUUUUUCUAGAUCACAAGUCCAGUCUUACAUGCACUAGGUUGGAUAGUCCUAAAACAGGCCAAAUCACAUGUUCAAUGUAGUCACUAAAACCAAUUGAGGUCUUCCCAUUGUAAGCAGUAAGAGCCAGUGUGAUUCAUAUAAUGGCACAUACCUUAUAUGGCUAAAAGGCAAAACAAAGUUAUCACACCAAUAUGAACAGUGAAGCAUUACACAGAGUACAGACAAUCUGACAUAAUAGUUUAGAAUAUCAUAUUCACUAAGAAAUUUAGAAAAUAAAAGGCAAAAAGACCUUGGUUUACUGGUACAUGGAUACUAUCCUUAACUCGCUCCCUCAAUCAGGAAAAAACUACAUAUAUAUAAACUAACAUAUACGUCCUCAUAUGGGAUGUCAAACGUCAGCUAUGUAACUGAAGUACACAACCAUUCUCCUUUAUCCAGGCAGGACAGAGUCAAAAGGACAGCACAAGUUGUGUAGCAUGCUUUCAAAAAUAAAAUAUGCAAAAUCAAAUCAAAUUUUUUCAACCCAUUGUAAACAUGAAAUGUGAAAAUGGCUUAAGUUAUAAUUAUGUUCAAAAAAUGUAUAGACAAUGGGGAACAUACAGAAAAUAAUAGUUUCAGGUAGGAACAUCAUCUUUUAGUUAGCACAUUUAAAGAUUGAUCUCCAUAUAUCUGCCUGUAGAUGCUGAUACAUCAAUCAAAAUUAUCAAAUUCUAUCCACUCACCCUCCUCAUCCAAAAACAACAAAGAACAAACAACAAUAAGUCAAAAGUUCCAAAAUUAAUUUCAUUUAGCUUUUCCCACCAUUUAGAUAUCGUAAGCACAAUAUCAUCAGUAAAAACAAGAGUAACUAAAACUCUUUCAUUGACAAGUUACCUAAAACUUUUCUAUCAACUCUCCUUGAACCAUUUAUUUUACCGACAACCUUGUCAAGUUGAUGCAUCGAGAUGUACCCUAUGGAUGUCUAAAUAUAUUAAAUAGAUUCCCCUCAUCUGUCAUCGAUAUAGAUAAGAAAGCAAUCAACCAUCUACUAUUUGAAUAGUUCUAGCCUCUGGCCAACAUGAAGAAACCAUUAUGGAACUUUAACAACAUCAAAUAUUUCCACAGAUAUCAUAUCUCUAGAUGAUCAGUAUAAAAGCUAUUAAAAUAAACCAACAAGGAAGAUACUGAUGCAGACCCAAAAUAUGGAGCCAUAAUGUUCAACUACUGAAAUAAAAACAGUAGCUCAAACCUCGCCAGCUCAUUCAAUUAGAAAGGAUUUAUUAUAUGCAACAUAUGUUGCAAAUCAAAUAAAUAUUCAAUUCCAGUAAAGGUAAUGUUUUGAAUGCUGGAACAUAUUACCUUCAGAUCUUGACAGAUAUCCACAAUCCUCAAAAGGUUGUUGGAAUCAAUCUGGGUUUCUAUAAAUCCUCGAAGGACCAGGUUAGGAUUUAUACACCAGAGAUGAUGAAAAAUGUUGUUCCUUGAAGAAUCUUUUAGUAUUACAGGAAACACUGAAGAAGAUACUUCAUACUGGAUGAGAUUGUACGCAGUCUGUAGAGAGAAAAAUAAACGAUCAGCUUCAUUUAAAAAAGAAACACCACCGAUAGUAGAUACUCAGGAAGUAUUGGGAAUCAUACAUUAAUGUGGGCAACUCCAAUAAGUAGAACCUCUGGACAUUGACUAAGAGGGAAAUCUAGUAUGAGUCGCACCAAGCUGGCAUGGCCUCUUUCUGCAAGCUGGCAUAAAACAUCCAAAAGAUCUAAACAACACCAUGCCUGAUUUCCAUGCUUGAAAUGUGCUAGAUCACCAUACAUCUGAAAUAAAAAAACACAUCAAUUAUGCAGCAGCAAUUUAAGUUGCAAAUAUAAAACAACAGUAUCUAUUAAGGAAUACCAGUUGUCUUGAACAAUGCGCAAAUGUGAACACAUCAGUUGGGGCUGACACUGCAUAUCUCAAAAGAGAAAGUUGGCCUUCUGCAUUCUUCCAGACAGAGCCACAAAUAGCAUGGAGAGGAAAAGGAUCCUGAGCAAUACACUUAAGGGUUAGUAUACUAUCAAAAGCAACUGUUUUAAAUACACAAACCUAAGAAUACCUGGCACGCACUCCUGUAAAUGGACAUUAGAUGUGAAAAUGCAGUUUCAUCAGGAAGUAGAAAACCCUCAUGGUCAAGUUUUUCCAUGACAAGCACCCAAUUUGUCUUUGGAGCCUGCAUAUAAGUUGAAUUAUGAGGUAAAUAUUUAUUACUACCUACUAAUUUUUUAUUAGCCUUACUGCAUAACAACCUAAGCUGAAAUAGAGAGAGAGAGAGAGAGAGAGAGGGAGAGGAGGAAGAAGAGAGAGAGAGAGAGAGAGAGAGAGAGAGACAGAGACAGAGAGAUUUAGGCUCACAAGUUGCUUAAUCGUGUCAACAAGGACAUUAAAAUCCCAUGAGUUCAAUGAUGAAGAAUCACUAGUUAAGCUGCUACCAAGAGCUGAACAAAAUGUUGCAUGAAUGUUGAGAGGAUCCUCAAGACCACUAUGAGUCCGGACAAUUGUGCCUAUUAACUUAGAAACUGUAACUUCAUUGAGUGGUUGAAAUUGAGAUAGUAUCUCUUUACAAUGCAAAGCGUCAGCUGUGCAUCCAUACCCCAAUUCUGUCACUAUGUCAGCCAUGCUCAUUUCCUUUUCAAUUUCAGCUAAUACAGCAUCAAAAUCAUUAUCAGAGCAUCCAGAAAAUAGAUCCAAAUGCCUGUAAAGAGAUAAAAAGAAAGUAUGAAUGAAUAACAAGAAAUUUGAGUCACAAGGAGUAGGCAUGAAUACAGACUUCACUAGACCUAUUCAUAACCACCUCAAAUUGUUAGCUGCAUUGAUAUCAUUUGUCAGCAAUGGGGCUGAUAAGAAGAAAGAGCACCCUUUCAAUUGGAGCAGAGAUAAAAUUUUGGUAAAAGAAUCCAUGUGCUUUGAAAGGCCUUCAGUUCGAUAGAGGAACAUAACAAUAUCCUGAAUUUGAUCACUAUUUAAAAUUGACGAAGGAUUUGCACACAAUUCCUCAAUCUGAGCAAUGCAAAAAUUUUGCCCUAGAAAACAUGAAAGCAGUUGAAACACCAAGAAUGGAGACAAACAACAUUGCUGGAAUAAAAUAGAAAGAAUAGCAUAACCAAUGUUAUUACCAAACUUACCUCUCAUCCUCAGAUCAGGAUUUUCACAAUCCGACAAAGCAAGUCCAAUACCAAUUUUCUCAGUUACUGAAAAACCUAAUGUGUUUGAAAUAUCUCCUAAGAACCCUUCACUUAUUGGCAUACCAUCCAAAGCUUCACAAAGAUUUGUGCUAAAAUUUGGUCUGUCCAGCAAAUAUCUUACAACUGCAGUUACAAGAUCCCGUUUCAGUUGUGAAGUCUCCCCAUCUUUAACUAUUAUUUGAUCCAAACAUCUCCGGAGCAACAAAGUGCUGACUUCACUUCCGUAAUCGACAAACUGUAAAGACAGAUUGAUAACAAUGCAUGAGCAAACAGUGCCAAUAAAAAACAUUGAAAUUGGAAUGUCAUUGUAUGAACAGGCAUACUAUCAGAUUCCAGGCUAAAAGGAGGCAUCUGCCAGAAAUAAAGUUAACCGCACAACAAUGCACAUUGACAAACAAAACCUAAAACUUUGAGCAAAGUACUACUUGUUUCACGCUAUAUGUUGAUAAACACAAAAUAACUAAAACAUACAACUGCAUGCAAAGGCAAGUUUUCCAUCAAUUUCAAUUCAUUUUAGUACACAUGAUCAAGAACUUCAUAGAGGCUUCGUACAUAUUGCACAUAAAAUAGGAAGUUGAAUACCACAACAACCAGAAGCAUCACAGAAGAAGAUUGUUUUUGCCGUAAACAUAAUCGCGAUCAUUUCCCCAAGCUCUCCUAAUUCAAAAUGUAGUUACCAACAAGUGCCAAAUCGGCACAAAUGAAGUCCUACCAUGAUCAGAGUGUAUCCAUUGGGUAAAUAUUAGGUUCAAUCGAUAUUUGUUUUUCCGGAGGUAACUUUCCCUCACCACGUACAACCCCCAAGUACCGGAUUGACACAACCAUCCGAACUGUUCUGAAUUAGGGAAACCCUCGCAGCACAAAAGCAAAGAGGCACGUCGAGGAAAAAUAUAUCAGAGAAGUAAAAAAAAAAAGAACACCAGGCUAGGGUUUUCAUGCAACACAGUACACUCCGCCCAUCAAAGGCGAAAGAGGGCUAAUAUACAACCAUGAAGCACGAGCAUGCAGCCUGACUUCCGAUCAGUUCGCUACGGACACAUUGGAAGGGAAGGAGGAUGCUAUUCACCAAAUACCAUCUCGGGCAGGACGAAGAAACCAACGCGCGCAACAACAUAAUCGUAAGAAAUUAGAAAGAUCGGAGUUUCUCGAACCUGGCAGAGCUCGCGAUAGAUCGAAUCGAAGUUGGAGUCGUUCACGCUCUGCAGCAGAAGCCGGAUCUCUCCAGCGACGGUGGAAGAGAAGGGAAGCAUCGCGGCGGAGGCGGCGACGGCAGCGGAACCGGACUAGGGUUUCUGCCCCGCUCGAGAUGGCGAGAAGGGCGAGGGUUUCGAGUCGGGAGACAAAGGGAGGAGAGAGCGAGAGAGGCGAGAGCGUCGGGUGUUCGGUGAUGGAAAUACGGGGAGAUGGCUUUUGGCUUCCAAGAGUCGGAGAAUCAGAGGUUUCGCGACGACCUCCCUUUUAAUGGGGAUGGGGUGGGAUAUAAAAUGCCAAACGAGAUAUGCUCACUCCGGUGUCCCUUGGGUGUCGGUGACCUUCGCUUUUUAAGAGGCUUCCUAUUGUUCAUUCACGGAGAACUUAUGAAUCAAUUAUAUAUAUCAAGCCACGUUUUAUAUAUAUAUUUAUAUUUAUAUAUAUAUAUAAUUGCUCAGCAAAAUAAUAUAUAUACAUAUAUAUAUAUAUAUAUCAUAAUUGAGGCAUAUUCAAAGCGUUCUAAUGAUGUUAUCAAGAACUUACGCAAGAAAAAAAAUAGGAGUUACUAUCUACCAUCGAGUAUGAGUAUGACAUAAUCUAAGUGGGUUAAAUAGACUCAAAUAUACAAAAAAUUGAUAUCUAAGACUCUAACGAAUUUGACAAAUUGGGUCUGAAAGUUUGAUCUAUUGGGUAUGAUACAUAAUAGUGUAUUUUUUGCUAGCAUAAUCCAAUCAUAAUGUAAAUAUUAAUUUGUCCAUAAGUGAAAGUAUCUAAAAGCUCGGUCGAAGGAUAUUCAAAUAUAGUUUACUUAUGAUUUUAUUUUAUUUUUCUUAAAUAUCUCCCAAAAACUUAUGUUUUUGUUAUAUGUAUUAGAUAUUCUCAUAUUAAAUUAUAAGGACCUCCUAAUGAUGAUAAAUGAGAUUUAGAUAUGCUAUAAUCCAUCAUGUUUUAUUAUCGUACUCCUACUAUAUUUUACAAUGAAAUCGGCUUUAUACAUAUUAUUUGUCUUGUUGAAUCAAAUAAAUAAAUAAAUAAAUAUAUAUAUAUAUAUAUAUAUAUAUAUAUAUAUAUAUAUAUUCUUUAUCGAGUUAGAAUAGGAUAGUUCCUCUCUCAUGCUAAUGACAAUAACCCCCCCCCCCCUCUCCUUCUAGUGAAUGCUCAGAUGCUGUUGAGCCUCUGGUCAUUUUCCAAUAAAUACUCCUACACUAAGGAGAUCAUUGCAUCCUUUUCUUUCACCCAAUGGUUUAUAGAAGUACGACUCAAAUGAUUCAAGGUCCAAGCUUUAGUUCUUCUUAUAUAUAUAUAUAUAUAUAUAUAACACUAUCAUAUUCAUGCAACAUAUGUUAUUUCACUAAGGAUUUUAUUGAGGAUAUUUGUGCUUCAUGUCAUGAACAUCGAUAGUUUGAUUAAAUAUUCAAAUUUGGAAGUUACUACAUGAAUGAUUUAAAUUAAAUACUGAUAUAUCUUCUCAGAUUAUUUUUAAUGGAAAAAAACAACUUAACCAAAUUUUACAUGUUGAGUCAGACUUUUGAAGUAAUAUAUAUUUUUUUUUUCUCUUCAAAUAAAAAAAAACUCAAAUACUAUAUAGAUUAAAUCCUAAAAAUGAAUACUUGAUGGUUAACAACUUAUACACAAACUAAAAGUCUUAACUCUCAGAAGACUAAUAUAACUCUAUACAUGUAAAUAUGUAAAAGACAAAUUUUAACAUACUUAACCAAAUCUUCCUAAUAUCAAUUUGAUGUUCAUUUUAUCUUUUUCGUUUAUAUAUUUAUUAGUAUUAACAUAGUCAAUUUAAAAAGACAAAAAAUCAACUUACAAAAUUAGUGACCAGAGGAUUUUAUCAUGUUAUAUCUUUGUUAACACAAGAAAUUUCUUUUAUUCUCGAGAUUUGAAUUUUUCUUCUUAUACUAAAUCUAUUUUGAUUAAUUAUUUUCUUAUAUUUUAUUGGUCGCGACAUUUUGAAAUGACAAAAUGAUGGAAGAAACAAAAAAAGAAAAUGUAUAUAUUCUUAAGAGUUGGAGAGUUGUGCUUAAGUAGACUCUAUUAAUAUGAUUUCCAAUAUACUUAAUAAAAUAAUUUUUUUAGGAAAAAGACUAUAUAUUACUUCCCAAAACCAAUAAAAUGAAUGCCAUGAAUACAUAAUAGUAUAAAAAAAAAUAAAAGUUCACAAGCAUUUCAAGAAGAAUAUUCCUAGUAACAUUCAAUAUUAAUAAAUGGGGAUAUUUGAUAUAUGAAUCAAAAUAUUUGAGUCCAAUUCACCUCCUUAUCUCCCAUCAAUCAUGAAUUAUAAUUAUUGUCCUCAUUUAUGUCAAUGGCGCAUUCAGUGAUGCCACCGCAUAUGGUCUCAGGGUCGAAUCACCCCUGACAACGAUGCCCAUUAACCAUCGCUCGGCGGGAUACAUGGGACGGAACCCAAAGAUGUUUCGCCGAUCGAACAGAAGCGGACAUGCACGCCCUCACCCGCCUCCGCCUGGGCUCCGCCGAUGAGGAGGAAGCCGUCUCGGGCGCACCGCCAAUCAGUACUCGGCCCGGAUCCGGACCCUUGGUGAAGCCGCUGUGGUCUCUGCUUCCGUCUUCAGCGGUUCCUCCCAAUGCCGCUGUUGGUUCCGAUCCCAAACCCUGAUCUUCUUCCAGCUUGCUUUCUCUCAUUUUUACCCAUCAGUUUCUACAAUACUUGUGCAGGUAUGAUGGAGAGUCUGGAUGAUCGGUGCUCCCCGAAGAGAUGGUCUCUGGGAAGUUGAUGGUAAGGUGACACGCCUUUGAUUGCAAGGUUUCUUGAUCUGAGAUUAAGCGUUAAUCUCAAUGUUGUUCCAGUGAGGUAUUCGAGGAUUUCUUGCUGGGUUGCCGCAUCUGGUCGUCUUAUUGCAUUAGAAUGCACCUGUCCUGCUCCGUCUGACUAAGUUCGAUGAAAUCGUGAACGUUAAGAAAGUAUAGCUGAAACUGCAAUGAACGCAUUGUAAGAUUGAUAGAUGCCCAAUCGUAACGAUCUUCGAUUUGCAUUGGCACAUGACAAUUCUUUUUCGGAAGAUUUUAAUUUCUCUACUUUUUUGAUAUGUUUUAAAUUCUUUCUGUUUGGGUACUUUUUUUGAAAACUUGUCACUAAUUUGUGAACGCUCAAAAUAUGCACAGUACAAGUAUUUGUAAUUUUUCCUUCUUUUAAUUGUUAAUUCUAAAUUCCUGGAUCCUCCAUAUAUAGGCUACAACAUCUCAGCAAACAUCACACAACCUGCUAACUCUUUGUCCACCACAUGCACCUGACCAAAAGAUGCACCAUUGGCAAUCAUCAUGAUGAACUUCUGCCAUCUCUGUUAAAGCUCUUCUAUCUGCAUAACCAUACGUAAGUGCUUCUAUGGCCAGCUGAGUGUUUUAUAAAUUAUAAGUAUCAGGUUGUAUGUUCUUUACAGUUUAACACAGUUAUGGAAGCUAGAAUUGCUGAUCUUUCCAACGUGUCAAUAUGAUUUGUGAAUGACGCAUGCAACGCAUGUACACUGUGAUUACAACAAAUUUAUUAUGCUUUCUUGACAAGAUUCUUGUUUUCUUUUUGUGGGAACACAUUUUAUUGACGCAUUUUGCUUUUUUUGCCUUUUGCACUGAAGGCAUCAUGCGAUUGAGGUAGACUAGAGACUCCUUGUUUAGCUUCCAAUCGUGGAAAAAAAAGGUUUGUGAUGUAUUUUCAUAACAAAUUUUCUUUGAAGUGUCAUGUUUAUAGAAUAUUCAAAAUCAAUACUCGAGGAUGGUCUUUUACCAAGGUUAAGCAAUUGGUAUUUCCAUUGGAAUUAGAAUUCUGGGGAGGAUCCUAUUUUGUGGUAACUCAUGAGUUUGUUUCAAAAUAGGAAAGCCUUUCGCUAGGUUUUUUUCUUGAAUCAAUUAUCAUAAUUACAGUAAAAUAUGUGGGUUACAAGUAUCCCAAAAGGUAAGUUGUCAUUUUCAUGGAUCUAUAUAUGAAAUUUUAAUAUGUAUUUUUGUGUUUUACAUUCUUUUUUUUUUCCUAUGGUGCAGUCCGUGAAAGUCUUAAGAAUGCACACCUGAUAUUGUUGAUUUGAGGUCAUAGUAUUGGGAGGCUUCUUUCUGUUUUUGUAUUUCUGAAGCAAUAUCAUAACUAUUUUUUCGUAAAAACCAAAUUUGAUCAUUUAUCCUGGUUCUCUCAAGCAAAAGGUAAACAUAGUUGUUGACAUUGAGUAAAUUUAAAUCAGUUCACUCAAUACAUAUUGAGAUUAAAUCUCAAAAGGAUUAUCAAACUGUCCAAUUCCGAUGAGCUUUUGUUCAACUUCAUUGCAUUAUUUGGUUCCCAUUAAUAAAGCAUGGUGAUCACAAAAUUGCAUGUGAGAAAACUUAAACUUUUGCAAAAUGCACAUUUUCCCCCCUAUUGUUGUUUGUUAGUGUCUUUCUUUUUUGAUGUAGGAGAAGGUGUCUUAUCAGAGAGAAGCAUAAUUGAUUAGCUUUCUCAGCCUUUUCCUCAGGAUGAUGUGGAGGACUUCUUGUGCUCUGGCAUCAAGUGUUUACACCUAAGCUAUCAUCAUGUUGCAGAUAGAAAUUUUUUGGUUAUGUCAUGUUCUUUAGAGAUUCAUUGUUAUUGUUAAUGCUCAUGGAUGUUAUUUUGUUGGUCUUCAAGAAUGUUAAACUAGUACAAUUUAUUCUCUCCUAACUAAUAAAACCACAUUCAGAUGUGUUGUGUGAUAGUGCUCGGUGAAUUUUACAUUCAUAGAUAUAGUGUCAGAAGAGAACAUACCAAGAAUUUCCAGUAUAUGACAUUUUCUGAAACAAAGUGCUGGAUGUUUAAUUUUGAUAAUCUUUUAGUAGGUUGAUUUAAACAUUCAAGGCGGCCUUUCUUACUUGGAUAAGAGUCAGAAAGAGAUGAAAUCUUGAAUGCCGUUUAGAAGUUGCUUUGGUUAAUCUGGAUGAAUAUCAAAUCCUAGUUAAUAUUAGGCUUGUUGCUGUAAUUUGGACUUGCUACAGUAAUCAAAUAGCAUAGACUGUAGGUGACUAUAUCGAGUUGUAAAAUUUUCAUUUACCUAGUAAAACUUCCAAUUUGUAUGCAUAGCCUGUGUGCCAUUGCUUAUUGUUUCCAAAUUGUUAUAAUGCAAUAACAAAGGUACUUAGCCUUGCAACUGUGACCUUGUGAGUUCGGCUGGUUUCUUUAUAUAGGACUAAGGCAAAUGAACGUCGAAUGUCAUAGCUUUUAAAAAGCUAAGUCUGCGACAAAUGGUAUAGGAUAUGCUUCAACUCCUUUCAUUAGGACUGAAGGUUAAAGUUUUUGGAUUUGCCUGGGCAUUAUUUGAGAAUGAUAUUGCAACUCCUAUAAAGCCAUGGUUCUUUAGAAGCAAUGGUGUGUCUGCUGUGUAUCCUACCUCAGAAUCAUAUCUUCCUUUCUUUUGUUUCUAAGAUGCUGCUUUUUCAAAAAGAAAAAAAAGAGAAGAUGCUGUUUUUUCCUACAAUUGGUUCUCACUUUGUUCCACUGAGGCCAACAAAUUUAAUUCCUCUUAACAUAUGUAGAUGAACUGAAAUGUGUGGUAUCAUAGACUCAAACAAGAGCUAGUACCAUUGUUUUGAAUGAUAAUUUACAAAAAGACUUAUGUUAAGCAUUAAAGAAACUAUUAAAUCUAGAUAUUGGAAUACUUCUUUACUGCUACUUUAGAAAUGGUUAAAAUCUACCUUUGCAUCUUAUUUGAAGCAUUACUUGUGAUUCAACUUUUUAUGGACUACCUUAACAUUUAUGUGACUUUAAAUUGGGCAGGCUUGAAGACAUUUGCCCUAACACAACAAGCAAUAUGUACUGGCAUGGAUUGACAUCACACAAUAUACCAUGGUGCUGUACUAUGCCAGGUUGGUGUGGUAAGUACCUGCAUCCUUUCUUCAACUUUGUUGAGAAAAUUUGCCUGGUUGAAUUUGUAUAUUUACACUUCAUUCUUUGAAUGUAUAUACUCACAAUAAUUUAAUGCUUGGUCAGUUCAUCAGUCUUGCACUCUCAUAUAAAUGGAAGUCUUGAUUAGAAGUCCUCAGUGGAACUUAGCAUAUUCUUAACAAAGAUUACUUGAUUACAUUAUUUGUCAACAACCCAUACAAGUGAAACUUGACUUUCAUGACUGACAUGGCCAUAUUUGUUUUUUAUAUUUAGUCUCACCUUUGUCAUCAUGACUCACAGUAAUCCAGAUUUCACCUUUGUUAUAAUUACUCUCAACUUAACAUAUUCUUUCAUGACUGACAUGGUCAUAUUUUUCAUUCUUAUAUGCAUAUUUCACUUCCUCGCAUAUGUUCACAGUGAUUCCACCUGCUGAGUAAUACUAAAUGCUAUAGGCACGAUCAAUUUUGGUUUCCCAUUUUGCGUACUUUAUCACAGGCCAUGUACUGAAAUUGCUGCUUGGCAUAUUGCAUGCACUUUCAUGAGAUUGAACUUUACGAAUUGUACUUCGAAAAAAAGAAAACUUUACGAAUUGUACUGUAUGCUAGUCCUUUGAUCCUCCUAGUAUUUUUCUUUUCAAGACAAUCAUAGGUGGACUGUAGGGAGCUUUACCAUAUGAGACAGCCCUUCAUCAAGAAACCUGCUCCACUAGGUUGUCUAGUCGCUGAAGUCCAUCUACACCUACAAAAUCCUGUUGGGAACCAAUCUCAUAGGAGUCAUAGGCUUAGGAUGGGGACAGAGCCUUGUCAUCUCAAUUGAGAUCUUAUACCUCUUAUGUGCGGCUCAACUCAGAAUGUGAGUUUCGUUAGCUUUCUGUCAGGUAUUAAAAAAACAAUUUAUUGAGAAGUUGGUUUUGGUAGAUUGUCCACUAACCAAUAUCUGUGUUAAUUAAUGUACAUACAAAUCUUGAACUCUCGAGACCUCUCUUUUUAAGGUGUUACGAGAAUAAUGACGCAGGUGAUGCGUCCACACCAUCUCAACAACUCAACUGCAUGGGAUCGAGUUGCCGGGCCAUCUGUUCGAUUCGACGAAGCCAUAUGGUGGACGAGAUGACUCCACACGAUCAAUUUGUUGAUGCCAUAUAGAGGGCACGUCAGGUUAAUAUACCCUCUACACGUUAAUACCUUGUGGAGGGUAUAUUAGUUUGACGAAAUUGAUGAGUGGGCUUCAUGUGGUUGACACAUCGAAGACAUGUGGAAGACACACAGCUUCACACAAUCGACCAUUAGAUUUCACUUGAUUGACAUAUUAUAGCCACUUGGCUGGUCGACAUGUUAGAGCCAGUUAGCUGAUUAUUCAGCAUCACAUUGAUUGUUUAUAAAGUGAAGCUAAAUAACUAUACCCGAUGAAUGCCAUGUGGAGAAGGAUAGUAUAAUCUUAAGUUUAGCAUAAGCUAAUAAUAGUUAUAGCCAGACUCCAUGUCUCCAUGAACUACAUAAUGAUCAAGCAUAAUUGUUCUUAAUCCUUACUAUACUAGGAGUAUCGAGAACGGUUCAACAUACUGAAUGGCCUAAGUUUGAUUUGUUCAAUUUUUUGAUUGGCUUAAGUUUUGAAGGGACAUUAUUGAAAGUACCUCUUAUGUAAUUUUAUAAGACUUAGGAUACCGCUCCACAAACUUCAUUUCACUUAACAAACUUCAUUUUUAGGUUGACUGGGGAAAAAAAAUAGAUUAGAUGCAAAUCAAUUCGGAUAAUCAAAAUCUAUUCUAAUAAAAAUAAAAAUUUAGUUUCCUCUCUAUGUGGUACAAGAUGUCAUGUUAGACAUGUCGGCAAAACCUACCAACACGCACCCUAAACUCAAGUCCAACAUACUUUUCCGAUGACCCCAUCUUAAAUAUAAGUGGGAUCUAACUCAUUAAGGUUUGGUUGUAGUGGCAUAGAGCGUGUGUCGGCAGGUUCUACCUCCACCAUCAUCUAUGUCCUAAAUAUGCUACACUGGGCCCUUCUUUUAACCUCUAAAACCUAAAUAUUCCAACUUUUUUAUCCCAUAAUGAAUUAACGCAUCACAUGGUCUACGUUUAUAUAAUAUAUCACAAACCAACAUUAAUAAUCUACAUGUUCAACUCAUGGAGAUGAAUUUUUUUUGGGUAGUCCUAAGGAGAUCUUACUGCAUCUGUAAUUGUCAGUCUUUCCCUAAUACUAUGGUGAUGGGAAAUAGUUAUGGAAUAGUUUCGGAGUUGGACUUAGUAAUCUGAAUGAUAACUUUUAUUCAUUCAUCCAAAAAGCAAUCAUCACAACGUUGAAAGUAGUUGCAAUACAAGUUACAUGUUACAACCCGUAGCCCUCGUCUGUGCCCUCCUACCAGUAUCAUACAUAUCUUCCAGCUAGCAUCACGUGCCGUGCCAGUAGAAUUCCAACCGUUCGAUGAACGCAGUCUUGAUUUUUAGACGAAAGAUUCUAAAGAAGCAGCAACAGCGGAGACGGGGGCAGCGGGCUGUGGUGUCAGCAGACGCUGUAGUCAUCGAGGAGGAGCUCCGGCCUCGUUGCAGCGGCGGCGGCGGCGGAAGAAGGGGACGGUUGGUUCUCGUGGCGGAGGCAGAGGAACUCCUUCUGGCGGCGGAGCUCCAUGACCUUGCGGUGAGAGUUGGAGUGCUGGGUGAGCACGAAGGUCGGGCUCGCCGCGGGCCGGUACUCCGGCACGAGCCGCCCGGACUUGUACCUCACCCCGCACGCGUUGCACAGCGUCUUCGGCCCCAGCGGCCCCGUCCGCCACUGCGGCGUCUUCUCUGACGCGCAGUGCGUACACCGCCGCACCCCUCCUCCCUCUCCUCCUCCACUUUUCUUUCCUCUACUACCACUACUGCUGCUGCUGCUAAUGCUCUUAGCACCAAUCGAAGUUGGUAGCGAAGACGGGAGAUCAGAGGACGAGGAUGAGGAAGACGGCGAUGGCUGCUGCGGCGGUGUUAACGAGGACCAAACAGCGGAAGGGUUGCUGGUCCUGGACCGCUUGCUUCUAGCAGCGCGACUGCUGAUGCAUUGGUCCACGCGGGGGUGGCUGUCGUCGGAGGGGGCGGCGAGGCUGGUAUACUGGCAAGGGACGUCCGAGAACGAGUCCUCUACAAACUGCGAAAGCCAUUCCAGCUCUGCUUCCUCUUCGCGCUGCAACCAAGGAGAAAUAAACCCAACCUCAAACAUUAGGCAAAGGGAGAAACGAACAUCUUUGGGGAAUUGUACCGGUGCUUAAUUACCGGAAUAUAGAAGUCGAAAGAAGCUUGGAGACAUUGGAAAUCGGACGAGGAGUUCGUUUCUGCAGGCAAUGGCUGGCUUGCGUCGGCAGAGAAGGGGUUAGUCGGUGCGAAGAAUUGGACGUCGGUUGCGGCGGCGGUGCCGAAGUCGGGGAAGAUGUGGUGACCGGAGAAGUCGAGGACAUCGUCGACGCGGACGGUGUCAGCGGCGGCUGGAGCACCAGAUAGAUACGCUGGAGAAGCAGCAGCACCUUCCGGUUGCGCAACAGCAGCUGACGUAGUAGAGGAAGUAUCUCCCAUCCCCAUUCCCAACUCCAUACCCAGCGUCCUCUCCCACUCCCACGCCAUUAAUGCAAAGAAAGGACGAUGCUUCCGCUCCGCUUCCUACGAUGGUGCUGGUGGCGAUGAUGGAAACGAAACAAGCGCAUUAUACAAGCGACGAGGCACUUGCAUUAUGGAAGACAUUGACACCAACGUGGCUCAUGUGCUCUCUGCACCCGAUCCAUCCUCAAGUCCUCAUCCUUUACCCCUCCCCCUCCCCCACCCCCCCACGCCCUGCUCUCUUUAUAUUCUACCACUCUCCCCUCCCUCUGAAGCCAUUCGUCCGUCAUUCAACUCUCUCUCGCGUAAAUCCAUCCUUCCUUCGCCCAUGUGAUUGGGGCAUAUGUUAAUCCGGCCUCGUCUUUUAGAAUCUAGAGUACGCAAGAGCUGGAAUAUAUAGUUCACCCAUUUCGAGGCCAAUGCAUAUUUUUUCACCGUCAUCCCCCCCUUGCUAGCUUACCCGGUGACUUCGGUGCAUGUAUGACGUGAUCGAUGCUCACCCAGUGAGUAAAACCAUUGUUUAAUAGAUGCGUUUACCUCUCCUGAGGGAACUGCUCAGGGCGAGAUCAAUCAGCAGACUCGUGAGAUGAACCAGUACAGUCCUCCUCACAUUGAAGAGAGAGAAGAGCACCGUGACACUGGUAUCGGUCCAGGGCGGGUUCAUCAUCUCCUCCCAGAUGCUCUCCCCGUUUGAGCCUGCGAGGGAGUAACUUUUGCUUUUUCGUAGGCUCACUCAUGUCAGAGUAGGCCGCUGGUGGAAACUGCACACCAUGUUUUUCGUGGACCUCCCUAGGAAAAAUUUUCUUGGAGCUUCUUAUGUCACUUCGCCGUAGGUUCCAAAUUUAUUUACCGUGUUAACACAGAAACGCCAACCAACUGUCAUUAUGCUGUCUUUUUAUGAGCUACUUGCUGGGCUCACACAUCAUUACUCUACACCCGGCUGGCUGCAUUAAUGAGUAAAUGACAUCGAAGUUUAUCCGCAGUCACUUUUCCUAUUACUGUUCUCCUUCAGUCUAAAUUACCGGUCGCCUGCGGCCUCCUCCUUGUUUUCUGCUGACUUCAGGCGUACAACAAGCUAACGAAAUCUCCAGGGAUAAUAAUCGAGCAACCGUACACGUCCGAAACGAAUCCCAACAUCUCAAUAGAGUGGAUGAUUCGCAAAUGUACGCUGACAAUUCACUUGUGCGUUCCGAGAUGAACGAAGGAUGAAAGAAUCGUUUUACCUGAUCGCCUGUACAAUUUGGAAGCAAGCAUUGCGUCAACCGAAGCUAUGCGCCCUGUAAAUGACUCCAGUCAUCUCGUUCCGGUGAGAGGAGGCUAACAGGCGACUGCCACGUGGAACCCUGUCGGCCGACAGAUGAGGCGCUGACCAAUAAGAAGGCAGUGUUUCCCUGCCCGGGUGCUCGGGCUAGACACAGGAGCCAGACCCCCGGUCGCGUACCCACAUGCGAUGCUUGCUGUUGGGUCCCGCUGCCUCUCUCGUCGUUGACGAGCCAGCGGGGCCAGCUGUGCCUGUGGGUGUCUUCGGCUCCCUCUCUCUCCUCUCAUAAACGACGCAUCUCGAAUCUGCCAAAAGAAGGGCAUUGAAUCACGCGAGGCGUACGGGGAUCCCGAGGAGGGAGACGGAAUCAUGCACGUGCUCCCUCGUGCUGACUCAUAUGACUUGCACGUGAUGAAGUUUUACCAGCUUCGUUUUUUUAUUCUAUCCACGGGAGAAGGGACAUUUAAUGUUGUUUCAUCUGGGGGCCACAUGGUUGCCUCCAACCACAGGGCAGGUGUCCGUCGGGUACAGUCCAAUGGAGUUGGCUGAGGCCCUUGGGGGAAGUCGCAUGUGUGGGCGAAGCGUGCAUCCAACGUAAGCAUUCCACGUGUGCCGGAGGAUGAGGUCAACUCGGACCACAUGCCUUUGCAUGCGUCCAGCGCUGGCUUUACACCAAACAACACUCACAAGACAGCAGCACACACAAUUGGUGGCAAAGCAACGCCGGAGGAGCAUCCAGAACUCCCCUUCCUAAAUUUUGCUUGCAUCCAUAGCAUCUAAAACCUGAGCAAGGAGAAGAACCGGAUGCUGUUGUUGCAAGUUCAUGUGUUCAAUGAGCAAAGCGAGAGCUCAUCGCAAGGAGCCACCGAGCACGCGCGGUUCCAAGAGCUUCUCCGCCAAUCCCUCCUCUCGGCACAUGGUCGUGCGUGUUUGGGUCUCGGAUCGAAGUCAAAACCCCAUUUCUCCAGAUCGAGGUCAUGGGGAAGACAUAAUUGAACAGGAAGAAGACAAGCUUUAAGCUCGUUUCUAAGCUUAGCGUCGCCGCUCCUCGAUGGUCCACCAGCGUUGAAAUCCUUGCGUUUUACUCUAAGGUUUGACCGUCCUGCUUAAGCGAAACCACAAGAAAUGUUAAUGAACGAGCUGAUGCCACACAUUUCAACGACAACUUUCAUAGCAAAUGUGUAUAAGUUCAGCAACCCUGAUCUCUUAAUCCAAGUAACAUCUUCAUUGCUUGAGAAAACAAUGAUUUCAAGUCAAAACUGUUCCCAGAUCGAAACUAUAGUCUCCCUCUAGAUUAAGGAUAUCUAUGUUAAGACUCCGAUAUACGAUGAAUUUGCACAAGCAAAGCAAUUAGUCAGAGAGAGAGAGAGAGAGAGGAAGUUUGGUGCAACAGGGACGACGUCAUCGAUCUGGCGCUCGGUUGAUAUCGGAUCUCGAUGAUGGAUCCGGUAUCGGUUUUUGGUCGGAAGUCCGGCUCUAAUUUUGGAUCGGAUCCUCAUUGUUACUGAUUGAGAUCCGACCCUAGUUAUCGUUUGACCUCUCAUGAAUUGGGCUGUAGUUUCGGCUCGGCCCUUUGACAUGUUUCGGGCCGACUUGCCCCCCUCUUUUAUUGGAUGGGUUUGGUGUAUUGGAUGUUAUGCCCGAUAUAUAUUUAUUUAUAUUCUAUGUUAGAAUAUUGUUAUCAAAGUGACAGUUCUUAUCAUUUGAUUUUAAUUCAACAGUUAAAAUUAAUCAGUAUUUGUUUAUUUAUUUCUUAUCAUUUGUGAUUGAAGAUUAUGAUUGAAAUCAGAAAAAUAGUCUCUUUUGAAGAUGAAGGUAACACUUAUUCAAAGUGUUCCUUAGCAACUACAAAAGAAAAUGAUCAUAAAAUACUAUUUAUAUAUUGUAUCAACUAGCCAAAAGAAGAACCCUUCCCGUCAUAUCCAUCAUUAUCCUACUUCCCUUUAUAAUUUAUGAUGGAUAAUUAUGAGGAUUAUACGUAUAAGAGAAUAUUUAGUAUUUUAGUUUUAUUGAAGAAAUAAUUAGAAAAAAAAACAAUGGAUAUAAUAUGAAUAAUAAAUCCCAUCAUGUCGAUGGUAUUAAAAAUAGAUAGAUGGAAGUGAUGGUGCAAUCGUACAAAUCGAUGUUUUAAAUGUAUUUUAAGUUUUUUUUAUAAGUUGUAAUGUAGAAUUAUGGACCCUUAGUUUUGAAUUUAAGGACAUUAAAAAGUCCAAGAUGGCUCUUUAAUGGUUUUGAAGAAAUUUCAAUAUAAUUUUGAGAUAGAGGGUCAAUCUCUUGGGGUAUUACCUGCACUAAGAUUGAUGUCAAGAGAAUUUUUCGAUCUGAUUCUUCUUAUGCUUAAGUUAAUGAUCGAGGACUUAAUGGAUAUGAACUUUUUUUUCGGAAAGAGAGACCUCAAUAUAAUAUUAGGGGUUACUUUUUAUACUUAAUCUACUAAGAGAUAGUCUUUAAUUAUCUCAAUGUCUUCUUUUAUAUUUUGUCCACAUGCCCGACAAGAGAAAGACAAGCUCAAAUGGUUUCUCUUGGACUUUUGUCAAUGGAGACAGAUAAAUGAAUAAUGAUAUGAACCUUUUCCAUCGGACCAAUCUCCACAUGGUGAUUAAAUAUCCUUUACAUGGUGAUUAGGUGUCAAAUAAUGAUUGAUCAUCAAUAUAUUUUUUUAUUAAAAUAUAAUAUAUUUUUACCAUCAAAUAUUUACUUCAUAUUUUAUUUCUUGUUUGUUGCUGAGACUAAUAUGUCAUGAUUCAUGAUUACGAGAAACCAUCACCUCUCGUCACACGAGGGAAGUUUUUGAGACAGUAUCUUUCGCAAAACCAUGUUUGUCGUGGUUGGAUGAAAGAAAUCUCUAUCUUCUCUUGGCUUGACAUCCGAUGCUAGAUGACUAGAUCAUUUCUUAUCGUAUAGGAGUUUGGUCAUUCUUGAAAUGAUUGAGCUCAAGAGAGAGAGAGUGUGUGUGUGGGGUAUGAGGAAUCUAUAAAUUAAUAACAAUUUCAUCUCUAUCAAUAAGUGUUAAAGUCAUCAAAUAAUUAUUUUUGUUAGAGUGUUUCUCAUGUUAAGUUUUUUUAUAGCUUAGACCAAGUUUUGAUGGAUGAUGAAGUUACUAAAGAAAUUAAGAGAAGAACCUAAUAUGAAAUCAACACACUUUAAAUAUACAAAGAUUCAUAUACACAACACUAGGUGUUUAUUUGAUGCUUCGAUAAAGUAGAUAGCAUUAUCCCGAAACACACUUAUUAUUAAGUUCAAGCAACACACCAUUAACUUUCUAACAUUAGAGACUUUUAUAACUUGAGGCUUUCCAUAAGUCUCCUCCCUUCCAGUUUUGUGGAGAAGUAAGCUUUCAUGAACUCUUUGUAGCUCAUCGAAACAUACUUCGGCUUGUAUCCCUUCACGAUCUCAAGAGGACCAAUCACCGAAUCUUCUCUUGGCCCAUGGAAGGUAGCGAUCGAGAGGCGCUCUUCCUUGGCGUUUAUUAUCGCCCGAUGCUCGAUGCUUUUGUAUACACCGUUGCUCAAUAUCUAUUCCGAAAGUCUUUUGUUUUUGUUAGAAAAUAAUUUAUACGUAAGAAAAGAUUAAAAAAAUAAUAAUAAUAAUUUUACAUUAGUAAAUAUUGAGAUAAACAACUUUUUUUUGAAUUGAAUUAGUAUCGCACUUGAUUGCUAAUUUUGACUAGUUUGAGUCGAGUUAAUGACCUCGAUGAUAUCACCGAUGUUAGCGAUGAGAGCGCCGGGGAGUGGCUUCACCGGGAACCAAUUCCCCCCCUUCCUGAUAUGGAGUCCUUCAACGUCGUUCACCUGUAGGAGCAACGUCAAGCCGCUGCCGUCCGUGUGUGGCGAGAGGCCCAACACCUCGUCAGCCCUUGGACAUGGGGGAUAAUAGUUGAUCCUCACUCCCUGCGGUUGGUCCUGAAAUAUAGUAGAGAACUCCUCCGGUGCGACCCCCAGAUUCUUCGCCAUCACCUCCAGCAAAGUUCCUGCCACGCUCUUCAGCUCCAUGGAGUAGCAAGAGAGAGAGUCUCUGACGGCAUGAAGCGGCAGCAAAGGACGUCAUGUACGUAAUAAGUACGUAGCUGAACCGCUGAGUAGAUGACAGCACAAGAAAUCGAGAUAAACCUGAAAGUGAAAGGUUGUGCUGGCCAGAGAUCGAUGUUCCUCGACUGGAGUGGUCGAGUUAUGAGGUACAGCAUGUCCGCCCAGUCCAGCUCUUGGUCGUCAGACACGACGAAGGCUUGGCCGUAACCUUCCAAGCUGUUCGGCAACUGCGCAAAUGCCUUCUUCUCUUCCAAGGGAAGCUUAAAGAAUUCUGCUAUAUCGGCCUUCAUCUUUUCCAUCGCUUGAUCGGGAACUCCGUGAUUUAUCAACUGUAAGUUAGCAUCAACGAUUUGUUAUGUUGCAGCUAUCGAUCACACGGUUUUGAUCCGUAGAUCGACUGACCUGGAAGAAGCCCCAGUCUGCACAGGCGUGGUGGAGCUUAGCAGACUCUUCCCGAGAGAAACGGUGAUGGAGGAGCCUGGAGAAAUCGAUGACCGGAAGCUCGCUUUCACCGUCGCUAGCGACGGGAUCAGCCUUGGCUUCCGGCCUGACGAAUCGAGGAGGGACAUCAGCCGGGUUUGCGAUGGAAGCUGCAAGAGCUUGGACGCUCGGGACGUGAAUGGACGAUCCCAUACGCUGAAAGCUCGAUUUGGCCAUCUCGCGAAGCAAGCGCGCGCACACACACACCCCUUAACGAAGACUAACACCUCUCAGCUCGGUUGGUUUGGUCAGGUAGCAGCUUCGACAACAUUUAUAGAGAGAGAAGCUUCGCUUGGUUGUCUUGCUUCUCAGCCACUAAUCUGCCCACCAUUGUUGUCUACCAAAAAAGCUUAUCUCUUUGUAGUGGAUUUAGUCUCUCAUCAGCCAUAUGAUAGAAAUAAUAGAAGACAAGAACAAUAAUUGAAGAAGCUUUAUUGUAGAAAUGAAAUAGCUUUAGCUUGAAUCUAUUAACAUGUUCCCUCUCCUAUUUAUACAGAUUAGGAGGAAGGAUUUCCCUCAACAGAAUAAACAGAAUAGAGAGAUUUCCUCAUAUAAUUGGGAAAUCUUAUCCUUUAUCAAGUUGGAAAAAUCUUAUCUUCUAUCACCGUCGUCCUACCAAAGACAACUGUAGUAGUUAGUGUGACUUUUUUUGUAACAGUAGCAUAUGCAGAUAGAGUUGCAAGUGAGACUUUGACUUUACAAUGUACUUAAAAAUUGUAGUAAUUUGCUGUCAACUUUUUGUACCAAUAGCAUAUAUCGAACUACAAAGGGAUGAGUGGAAAGUGAGACUUAGUCUAUCCGCUGCAUGCUUACUUAGAAAUGUACUGAUCCGACCAAUAUUAUAAGCCAUGACUCUGCCACAUCAGCUGAUGACAACGUAUCAAAAUAUUAAGACAGUCUCCAUGUGUAAAAAUUUCUUUCUGCUACCUUCUAGAGGAACAUAGUGGCCACCAUUUAAUGUCCUCCUAUAAAGUAGUUCAAUUAUUCCUCACACGUCAGAAACCAAUAUUUUAUGGUUGUAUAAGUUUUAUUGUAUUCGUGUUGUUUCCCACUCGCUUUAGAAAUUUGCACUUAUGGUUGACAAAGCUCCACAUCUUAUCUCCGUAUUAUGUAUAUAUGCUAUUGCUGUCACAGUACUCCGACCACGGAUCGGUGGAUGUGUUGAAUCGAUGGUUCUAAGAUGUAACAUGCAACAAAGGUUGGACGCUCAAGAAUUCAUUCUGCAUUAAACUCUCAUCUUCUUCACUUACAUUAAAAAAUAGAAAAAAAAGACAUCAUGCGUCACCCCAGAAAUCUCAUUGGACAAGAGAGAUAGUAGGUCAAAUAAAAUUCCUCUCUCAUUUCUAUCAAUUCAAGUGUCUGACUUCUUGUCGGUGACGCUUGCUACAGAAAAUGCAGCUAGUUAUUGAUAAGCAUUCCGUGUUAAAAGAAAUAUAUUUUAUCUCACCAUAUGAAUGGAUAAUCUUCGUGUGAAUUGUAUGUCUAGAUUUUAAAUCAUAUAAGACAGACUAACAAAAAUGAGAUUGGACAACAGUGCGUUCCAAGAACUUGAGCUGUUAAGUCGUGCAUCCAAUCUUGGAUGCAAACAUGCUUUUCUUGCGGAUAGGACAGCAAUCACACACCACAUAAAUCAUCAUCGUGCAAGAUUCCAACAAGUUCAUCUUCCCUACCCUAGACACACUAUAGUGUACGAUGAUCUAAUCCUAUUAGCUAUAUUAACAGUAAAAGGUAGCAGCUGGGAGUAAUAAUGAUUAAACAGUCAGCUGUUCGAUUGCAAUAGGAAGAAUGACGUAUAAGAAGAGCAAAGAAAAAUCAUACACGGCACGCUAGGCAAGAGAAUGGAUGCAAAUUGAUUUAUAGUUGUUUAGUCUUUCCGACGUUUCCGAUUCCUCUUCUUUCAAGGUGAUCGACUUUCACUAUCGAUCUUCUUUCUAAUGAGUGAAGAUCAAUUAUCCUUAUUGUAGCUUUUCUCAUUUUAAAUGCUUAAAAUCACUUCUAAACUUAAAGAAAAAAGAAGAUAAACAUUUUUCAAAGAGAGUAGAGUUUAUAACACUUUUAUACUUAAGAAUUUAUACUCUAUCGAGUAAGUAUAAGUGAAGUAUUUAUAAACCUUAAAAGAUUUCAAGAAUAAAAUUAAAAGUUUAAAUUUUUAAAAUUUUAGAGUAUUAACAGUACUAUUAUCGUAAUGGGUCACAAAUCAAAAUUCUGACGGUACUACCAUCAGCCAUCGUCCUACCCUGAAGAAAACUGUAGUAGUUGGCUGUGACCUUUUUGUAACAGUAGCAUAUGCAGAUAGAGUUGCAAGUGAGACUUUGACUUUACAAUGUACUUAAAAAUUGUAGUAAUUUGCUGUCAACUUUUUGUACCAAUAGCAUAUAUCAAACUACAAAGGGAUGAGUGGAAAAUGAGACUUUGUCUUUCCGCUGCAUGGCUACUAAGAAAUGUACUGAUCCAACCAAUAUUACAGGCCAUGACUCUGUCGCAUCAGCUGAUGACAACGUAUCAAAAUAUUAAGACAGUCUCCUCGUGUAAGAAAUUUCUUUCUGCUGCCUUCUACAGGAACAUAGUUGCCUUCUACAGGAAUAUUUUAUGGUUGUAUAAGUUUUAUCGUAUUCGUGUUGUUUCCCACUUGCUUUAGAAAUUUGCACUUAGUGGUUGACAACACUCCCAUAUCUUCUCUCUGUAUUAUGUAUAUAUGCUAUUGCUGUCACAGUACUCCGACCUUGGAUUGGUGGAUGUGUUGAAUCGAUGGUUCUCAGUGUUACGGUAAGUAACUUUUUUGCCGUGACCUCGGGGUCGACGCGGUUGGUUCAGGGCUCCAAAUGGCUGGGAUCAGACGCAGCUCCCCUCGAGACGUUGCUGACGCAGGGGGGCUGGCUUGGAAAGUUCUGCGGCGCCGAAGGGAUCCAACGACGAUCGGGCACCUGCACACAGGUCGGGUCGGUAGCUCGGCCCAACCCCUCCGACGAUCAAGUUAGCGAUAAAGGAGAGGUGUUUCUUUGGGCAGAUCCCCUUGCCCGUUGGGAGCCAGGGGGUAUUUAUAAGCGGGUUUGAUGUUACCUGGUGCACCAAACUGCCGGGGUAGGGUCGUACCUCUGACGGCGUAUGUCAUCGUUGUGGACGUUGCGUGGAAGGCCGAGCUGCCGCAGGGUAUGGAGGGUGUCAGUCAGCGCCUUCGCCUGCCUCGGCCGGCCACAAGGGGUCAGCCGAGGAGGUUGUUCGGGUACAGUGGGUGUGGUCGCGCGUCGAGUCGUCGUUAAUGCUCGUUUUGGGGCAGUGGGCCGCAUAGGGUGUCCGACGUGGGGGUGCAUUACGUCAAAUCCGGGGUGUUACGUCAAAUCAGUUUUUUUUAACCCUAUCACUCAGAUGUAUCGUGCAACAAAGGAAAUUGGCCAAGAGAGAUACUUGGUCAAAUAAAAUUAUUAUUAUUAUUAUUAAAUAUUUACCCGACGCUUGCUACAGAAAACGCACCAAAUUAUUGAUCAAGCAUUCCGUGUCAUGAAGAAAUAUAUUUUAUCUCACCAUAUCAAUGGAUAAUCUUUGUAAGAAUUAUGUGU